UGGGUGAUAUAAUUUGUUCACCAAGAAAAAGAAGAUAAAAUGGUAUAUCAUUAUGCAGUGUGAAAUUAUUACGUAUCUUUCCUGGAUGAGGGUUGCAAAAAGUUUUUAAACUUUGAUUGCAAAUUAUGUACGUGUUAAUAUAAUGUGACCGGCUAUCACCCAAUUCUGCAUUUUAAAACUUCGUAUGAACUAAUUUACCUCUUUAAAUUGUUGUUUAUAUAUUAAUUUUGUAAGAACAUUAAAAAGUUUAUAGAUUUUAUGCAUAGCCCUUAACCAAGAACAAUUGUGUAGCACCAAAUUAAAAGUAAGCUAAGUCGAUAACACGAUAAAAUUUUGUGUGAUUUCCAUUGAAUUAUUAUAUAUUAGAUAAUAAUUUCAUCAAAUUUGAUAAUUUACAAUAUUUUUAUCAAAAACUAAAAUUAAUUACAGAUUUAAGCUAAUAAACUGUUAGAUCUAAUAAAAUUUUAACUUAAUUAAACUAAAAGAAUUUAAACAAAACAAUUUAAAAUGAAAGAUGUGUGUGUGUGUGUGUGUGUGUGUGUGUGUGUGUGUAAACAAUUUAAAAUGAAAGAUGUGUGUGUGUAAGAUGUGUGUGUGUGUGUGUGUGUGUGUGUGAAGAUGUGUGUGUGUGUGUGUGUGUGUGUGUGUGUAAACAAUUUAAAAUGAAAGAUGUGUGUGUGUGUGAAGCAGCUCCAAAACUCGACACUGUAAAGCUACUUUUAAACUAAUCAGGGAGCAGUAAAUAACAAGUUCCUACGUGGAGGGGAACUAAAAAAAGAGACCAGCCCUUUAUUUCUUUUUUUUUUUNAAAGAAACCCUUUACGUGUUUUUUUCUUAAUUUUCAUGUAAAUAUUGGUAGCUAAAUAACAAGUUUUUUCAAAAAGUUCGCGUCCGUUCAAAACUUUUCCAAAGACUUUAUUAGUGAAAAAUAUAGAAUAUUAGUGAAAAAUGUUAUCUCUACAUGUUUAUAUAGAUAUAAAUUUUAUACUUUUUUAAAAUUUAAAAUUUAUAAAAAUAUAAAUAAAUUUUAGUAAAAAAAAUAACGACUAGAGAGUUUUUUUUUAAAAAAAAUAAAAAACUUAAUAGAUGAGGUAUGUAUCUGGCACUUAAUUUAAGAAUGCAGGUAACAUUGCACUUAAUUUAAUGUACGAGACCACAUAAGAUAUAGGACACACCUAGUAAUAUUGAACAGGCUUUUAUGCAUUUGUAUUGUUCCCCUCAACAACCGUACUCCCCCGUGUGUACGUACAUCUUUGCUGCUUAAUUUGUCCCCUUGUGUAGUGAGAUAAUCAAAAUUUCAUGCGAAUCCAAAUUGAAACGGAGUGAAUUUAUCAGAUUCUAAAUAAAUAUGAUUUUGAAUAUGAAUAUCAAAAAUAAAAAUUCGAUAAAUAUAAAUUUUGACUGUAUCCGACCCGAAUCUAAAUAAGAUCCAAACCCGAUCCAGAUCCGAAUUUAUUUUACAUUAUAUAUAAUAUGUAUAUAAAAAUUUGAUGUUAUAUUCGUAUUUGUAUUUUAAAAUUUAGAUUUCAUGUAAUAUAUUUUGAAAUAUUAAAAAGAGAAAUAAUUAUUUCAGGUUCGAAUUUUCGGGUUUGAGUUUCGAAUUUUUUGUUGUGUUCGGGUUCAGAUUUUUAAAAAUCCGCCCGAAUCCGAACUGUUGAAUACUAUUUUAUAUUAAUAUAAUUUAAGAUGCAGAAAUUUUCUAGACACAAAAUUCUCUUACCAUGUUUUGUAGCCAAAUAAAGUUUAGCAAUCAACAGCUAAACACCAACCAUUCCUAGUGCAAGUGAUAAAUGGCUUAUUAGUUGGUAUCCGAGACCCAAGUUCGAAUCCUCACAUUUCCAACUAAUUUUAUUUUUAAAUAAAAUAAAGGGAACAAAAAAAAAAAAGAAAAAGUAAUCAACGGCUAAAAGCGUAAUUGUGAAACUGAAAAUUUAAUUAAUUUCCGAACCUAAGCUGCAGAAAAUCUGCGCUCUCCCCAGCCCUCACUGCUUGCACUCAAUUAUUAUUAUUAUUUUUAACUCAGAGAAAUCGUGCAGUGAAGAACUGCUGUGCUACAUCUGUCUCGUCCAAUUGUAAAAAGUUGAACAAAAAAUAAAAUCCACCGUCCCUAGAGCAAGUGGCAAAGAACGUGAUGGUUGGUAUCCGAGAUCCAAAUUCGAAUCCUAGUUGAUUCACAUUUCCAGCUAAGUUUAUUUCUAAAUCAAAUAAACGAAGCGGAUAGCGUAUUAUCUAUCUCUCUUAAAAAACGGGCUAAAUGUAAAUUAAAAUUUCCACUUUAAAAUCUUAAUAAACUGAAGACGAGCUAAGGUCACCUCGUACGGGUUCGACUCGAUAUAGCUCGACUCUCUAUCUCUCUCUCUCUCUCUCUCUCUCUCUCUCUCUCUCUAUAUAUAUAUAUAUAUAUACUUAUAGAGUCUGGUUAUGAUGCUUUUAAUUAAAAGUACCAAAUAUUUGGGACUUGUAAGUUUGUCACCGAGAUAGGUAGCGUGCUACCUAUCUCUCUCUCUCAAAAAAAAAAAACUAUUCAAGAGCUACACCGACUGUCCCUAGCACAAGUGGUAAAGAGUUUGACAGUUGGUAUCCGAGAUCCCAAGUUCGAAUCCUAAUUGAUUCACAUUUCCAGCUAAGUUUAUUUCUAAAAAAAAUUAACGAAGUUGGUAGCAUGUUGUCUUUCUCUCCAAAAAAAACCCUACUUUAGAAGUAUUUCAACUUAAUAAUAUUAUGUAAUAUAUAUAUAUAGUUAGGCUGGAAUAUUAUUAAUAACAAAAGAUCCUAUUUGCUAUCAAGUUUUUAACCCUUAGAUGAGAAAUUGUAAGAUUAGCAUGAUAUUAGUCCCUUAAGGUUGAGUGGUCCUUCCUAGANCAUAUAUAUAUAUACAUAUACAUAUAUAUAUAUAUAUAUAGAGUCUGGUUAUGAUGCUUUUAAUUAAAAGUACCAAAUAUUUGAAACUUGUAAGUUUGUCACCGUUAAACCUAUCUCUUUAACGAAUUCUAUUUCUUCGAUUAUAUUAUUCCACUAGUCACCUACAAAUUCUUAGGGACCAAUAUUAUCUCUUUCUCUCUCUCUCUAUAUUGUAGAGCUACUAUGCUUCCGACUUUUUAGCCUUUGAUCAAGAAUUAUAGGGUCAGAAAAAUAGUGGUUUCUCUUGGGGUUGUGUAACGUCCCAAUAGUCCCACAUUGAAUGGGAUACUGAUUUCGAUCGGUUUAUGUAAGGCCUACAUGCUAGUAAUAAUAAUGGGUUUAAGCAUUUUGGGCUGGUGGUUUGGGUCUAACGAAUUAUUGUUGCUAGCGGGUCGCGCGUGUCAUUGCAAUUGAUAUCAGAGUCGAAUAUCAACCGGAAGUGUGAGAGCUAAGUGCUAUGCGGGGCAAAGUAUUACACCAACGGAUUUGGUGGGAGCCACCUCUUGAACUCGUAGGAGACACCUUUAGAAUCUCAUAUCACAUGGUAAUUUUGGUCUUGAUUUGUCUGUCUGUCUAUGAUCUAGUUUGGAUCUGUCUGUUUGUGAUCUGGUUUAGACCUGACGAGGACAUCAGGAUCUAAACAGGGGGAGUUUGUAACACCCCAAUUUCUAUCAGUUUAUAUGGCCUACACGCUAGUAAUAAUAACGUGGUUUAAGCAAUUUGGGCCGGUGGUUUGGGCCUAACAAGUUAUUGUUGUUAGGGAGUCGGAUCGUUACAGGUUGAGUGAUCCUCCUUAAGGUUGAGUGGCCUCCCUAGGAUAAUAAUAUUAAUUCAAAAAUAAAAAAUAAUUUAAGAGAUUGAUUCAGAGUAAAAAAAAUUGAAAGUACAAACUCUCUUAUACUUCCGAAAAUAUAAAAACUCUACUCUCUCUUUCUAUAUAUAGAGUUGAGCUAGCUAUAAUACAUAUAAAGGCACAAAUACCUUAGUGCUUUUAGGUUUUCUACCAUUUGAUCAACCCUUUGGUCAUUUCUAACUUUUUGAUUAAAUACUAUUCCACCUACUACCAUUAAAUCCAAGUUGGCUUCUAUCAUCCUAGUCCUACAACAACUCCAUUCAACUAUUCAAGAGCUAGUUGAUUCACAUUUCUAGCUAAAUUUAUUUUUAAAUGAAAUAAACGAAGCGGGUAGCGUGCUACCUAUCUCUCAAAAAAAAGAAUGAUAUCUAUAAACUAAACAAGUCUUGUAUCUUAGUUGUUUUAUCACGAAACGAAUCAAAUUGUAACCUACAUUCUCACCUCGUAUACUCCACUUUGGAGUCACAUUAUUCAAUCAACUUCCCGAUCUAAUAGAUAAAGACUCAAGGAAUCUCUAAUUAACAGCUUCAACUUACUGCUAAACCCCGUGUUCAGACGUGAAUGAUCUUCUUAAAACCAAAAAAAGGGAAAAAAAAUUAAGAGCUUCAAGUGGCUUCGUAGAUGGCACAUCCCACAGCUUUGCAAGAGGAGCACGCAACAAUUCCAAAGUUUCAUCUCAAGUAACCAAUUUGGCUUAUUUAAAUCACAAAAAUUACACAAGAGAUUGAACCAUCAAUAACAUAUGAGCACACCCCUUAAUUUUUNUCCAACCCUUUGCCUUCCCUCCGCAUAUAACGUCUAAUUAAUGUAUCCAUUCAUUUUAACCCUAAUAUAAUCGUAAAUCAUAAAAACUCACGCAAAAGCCUCAUUCUCUCUUAUGCAUGUUAUGAAAAUAAAAGCCUAUUUUAUUUCUUAUAAUAAAUUACAACCUCCUUCAUUUAGCAAGAGGUGUGGGAUCUAUUUACUUUUUUUUUUUAAUUCCUAAUUUUGAUGUAUUAUCCUCUUUUCAUUUAGCCUGAGACGUGGGCGAUGCUUCAGGUCAUAGCGAUGGCAGAGGUGGUGAAUGUGAUGGCACUGGAGACUAAGACGGCUGCGGAAGAAAGCGUGGGCAUGACAGUGGAGAUCGAGACGGCAGUAAAAGCAAUGGCAAGCCUCGCCCUCUUAGAGACCAAUAUUAAGUGAGAGUUUCUCUAUCUUUUCUUUGUUUUCUCUCUCUUCUUAUUUUCUAUUUUUUUAAUUUAUUUUUAACCUAUUUUACAGUAUUUUUUGAAAUUAUUUGAUAGUUUCUAUUUAAGAUGAGUUGGAUUGGAUUAAAAAUCUAAUACUCUGAUAAUACCUGCCCGUCGCAUCGCCCGGAUAACUACACUAGUAUACAUAAAAAAUAAAAAAAAUGGAGAUAUUUUUCACCUGCUCCUUAUUUAGUUCCCGGGAUGGGUGCAGAAUCUCCUGACCAAUCACGUGCAAGCGAGGCACGGCAGCACGGAAGGGCCCUGGGGUGGGUCCCACCAUACGCCGGUGCUCCGCUGGCCGUCUGAUCUGAUCGGACGCACGUUCGCGUACGUGCGGGGCCGCUGGUUCCGUCCCUUAUCGCCUGAACCGGGUGUACAAGUACGGCAUAGUUUGGUCCAGCGCACGCAUGGCUCAUAUUUUAUACUAAAAAAAAAUCAAAAAACUAAAAAUUUGCUUUCAAUAUUUUCUCCCCCACUACUGUAAAAUUACAGUAACAACCAUCACUGGAAAAUACCCUAAAGCAAGUGGCAAGGACUUGGUGGUUGGUACCCGAGAUCUAAGUUCGAAUCCUAGUUGAUUCACAUUUUCAGCUAAAUUUAUUUCUAAAUGAAAUAAACAAAGCGAGUAGCGUGCUACCUAUUUCUCAAAAAAAACUACCACUGAAAAAUACAUGACUAUAUGCUUCUCAAAUGAUAGAUAUAUAUUAUAUACUCAUAAUUUUAUAACGUUGGAAGAGAAAACAUUAUAAAUACUUUUAAAUUCUUUUGAUCUUCCAAUUAUAAAAAUGAUGAUUUCUAUCGCCAUUUUAUCAAACUAUGCCCACAUUCUAUACAUCACACCAUUAAAUCUGGACGAUAAAAGUCCAAAAUUAAAAUCUUUUUUUUUUCACUAUAAAUUUUUGUGACUAACUAUUAUGUAGAUCAUAAUAUAUUUUUUUUAAAAAAAAUAUUUUACACUCAAUUCGUUAUCUUUCCGGCACAGGUCAUAUUUAAAUACUUUAUAUUACAUUACAUAUAUAAGCUUGAAAAUUUUAAUGAAGUGGUGUAUAGAAUGUAUGAAUACACUCGGUGCAGGCACUAAAUUCCGGUGCCUGUUUAAUGUUUUUGUGGGACAAGCGCACCGCAGUGCGGGCCCCACUGCCCGCGCCUACGGGAAGCCCUCCCCAUGCUCUCUAUUUAUUAUUAUUAUUAUUAACACCAAAUAUUAACGUUUUCGAUAAUAUUAUAACACCAUCUAAGCCAUGGAGCUCUUUAACUCAACUGGUUAGGAUUCUAUAGAUUUAAAAUCUUAUCUUAUUAAGAACUAAACCCCAAAAUAUAUAUAUAUAUAUAUAUAUAUAUAUAUAUAGUUUCGCUAUUAUGCUAUUAAUAGCACGAAGCACGUACAUCUUUUAAUUCAAUGAUCNUUGCGGCCUUUAUCACAAGUCCCCAACCUCCCCCUCCGUUCCUUUCUCUUUUUUUUUUUCCGAAAAAAAAAUAAAUUAAUUAAAAUUUUUAGUAACUAAUUAGUAUUUUUCUUAGCUCACCUUUUUUCUUGUUCUCCACCACCACCUCCUCUCUCUCUCUCUCUCUCUUCAAGAUUCCUCUCUUCUCUUCGACGAAGCUAUCUCCCCCAUGGCGGUGGACUUGGAGAGCUUCUCGAUCCGGUAAGUAUCGGUGGCGAUUAGGUUUUCUCCUUGCGGUUUCUCCGAUCUUUUUCUUUUUCUAGGGUUUUGAUCCGGUCGUUUUGCUCUUCAUCUUGUUGAAGGGAGUUCGCGGCGAAGAUGAGGAACUUGGAUUUGGGGGGGAGCUGGCCCUUCGAAGGCGUGGGGAAAGAGGGAGUCGAAGCUCGAGCUCUGCCCCCGAUCUCCGCUCGGAGGUUCCGGUGGUGGUCCGACGAGCUCGACGCCGCUCGAUCGAGGGAGGCGGCGGCAGCUAGGGCUGACGUGGACGGCUCCGAUCGCCUCGGCGAGGAACCCGCGGUCGAAACCCUAGCCGAGAAGCCGCUUUUGGAUGGGGAGGAGGAGGAAGAGAGGCCGAUGAGAGCUUCUUGGAGGAGCAAGCAAAGGGCGCCGAAGAAGAAGAGGUCGAUCGCGGAGAUCUUCGCGCUCUCGCCGUUGAUCGAGGGCGUCGAGGAAGAAUCCGACGGCUGUGAUGGAGACGACGUAGGAGGCGAACGCGAGAGAGACGCUGAGGGAGGAGGCGGAGGCGUAGGACGAGAUCUGGGAACUGAGACGAGAGAGAGAGACGACGAAGAAGCUUCUAGAAAAGGAAAAGAAUCGGCGAAAGACGAGGAGAGGAUCGAAAAUAGUUCAAGAAAGAUCGAAAAAAAGAGAACAAAUAAGAAAAAAUCGAAGAUAAAUAAGAAGCUGAAAAUGGGGAUCUCCGUUUCCGAAAAGGUAUGUGGUCACGUUUCUCUCCACAUCAUCUACUCACAGCUUUUUUUGGGUAAUGAGGUUUACGGUUUUUUUUUUUUUUUUUUUUUUUUUUUUUCUGGUGCUCUCCUAUUUCUCCUUUUAGCUAGGCGUUUAACCAGCGUACGGUAAAUCACUAGUAGGUAUAUGAUGUUUUCGUAAUAACUUUGAGCUAAUUAUCUAUUCAUAGUGAUUGGUUAUACUGAUUAACGCGAGACGCGGACUCAGUUCGGUACUUAUCUGUGCAGCUUAAAUUGGUGAUAUUUUAUGUGCGAAUUCACCGCGUUAGGCCAUUUUGUGCUGUGAAUUCGCUUCUCGUUGAUGUUAGCGGUUGAUUUAUUUAGACACUAGGUUAUGGUACUGGGGUAAGCAAUAUCUCAUGUAUCAUCACUGUAGUUUGGUGAAUUAUUUGUGGCUGCUUAGUUUAGCCCGUACUGCGCGGUUAGAGUACUACGUUGUAUAUCACACAUUACGUUGUUGCGUAGUGUUUAAAUCGUACCUGUAAAAGAAGCAGCUUGGAUUUAGUGAAUCAUUUGUUUUGAUAUUAAGUUGUCACUUUGGCAUCAUUCUAUCCUCCUUUGGUUUAGUUGAACUAAUGAUUGCGUCGCUUAUUUUCAAAUCUUUGAAUCUAGAUUAAUCUCCUACUGUAUGGUUUUUGGCUAUCUUCACCUUCGUAUUAUUGGCUUGAAUCCCGUGAUUUUGAAGAUUACUGAAUUUCAAGAUGAUUUUUCUUGUUCAAAAUUUUUAGGCUGAUUCUUCUAGACUGCUAGGUAUCGUGAAAUGCCGCCCGUAGUUCGGAAUAUAUAGACUAUAGUGUCACAGCAAUAGUACACAAGGAAACAUUAUGAUAGGGUUCUUUGAUGAUUAUUAUAGUUCUAGACAUUUUAACCUAUAGUUUCCUUUUACGAAAGUCGGGAUGCUUGAAAACUUUGACCCGGACGCAAUUAACAGUUCCUGCUAUGCCUGGAUAUUGGGCUGUUUGUGAGCUGGGUAAGCUGGAAUGACUCUUUAUUAGGAGGCUUUCAUUGGCGGCUAGUUUUUUAUUUUUCUUUUGCUCAAUAUCCAUCAUUUAAACAAUUCGAAAGGAAGAAGUAACUUAGAUUUGUAGAGUGUGCAUAGACAUUUCCUAAAGAGAAACAGAAGAAGAAGCUCUAAUACUUGGGGUGUUAAAAGAAGAUCAUAAAAGCCUAAAGCAAGGGCAAGACAGUGGCUACGAAUUAUGGACUUGGAGAAGUUUAUUUGUUUUAUUGAACAGCGAUACAAAAUUUCAUGGAUUCACAGAAAGUAACUUGGUUGCAAACAAAAGUUGCUUCUCAUGCGUUAUACUUUUUUUUUUUCAGCUAUACUUAACUCGAUGCACCUAUUUUUAGGUGAACUUUGACUAGAUUUGGCUUUCUCCUUGUUUUAAACACUCGAAUAAUAUGUAAAUGAGAACUACUCGGUGUUUUGUCAAGAAGCAAUAAUUAGCUCUUUUUUUCUCUUUUUUUUUUUUUUGAGGGAUAGGGGUAGCACGCUAUCCGCUUCGUUUAUUUAAUUAGGAUUCGAACUUGGGUCUCGGGUACCGACCACCAAGCCUUUGCCACUUGCUCUAUGAACGGUCGUUAAGAAGCAAUAAUUAGUUAAGUGCUAAAAGAUGUCAACACAACAUAUAUAUAGUAGGAAGAUGAUGACCAAAGAUGCAAUUUUUUGGAGUUCAUGAUAAUGUGAGUUUGGAUAUAAAGUUGUGGGUAGGUAAGGCACAACAAGUCAUUAGUCAAGUUUUCUGUUGCCCGAAGCUUCUUUUUUGGAUUUUAUUGGGGUCACUCUAAGAUAUUGGUGUCGUAUAGUUAUGUUGGUGGAAAGGACAUCAGACUCAAUACAGCUAAUCGCGCAAGCAAAGAUGGUAGGCAACAGCAAGAAACUUAAACUUGUGAGAAAAUGUAAUAAUAAGUUUUUCUAAAUUGCGUGCGGUUUGCCAAUCUUCUAGCUUAUUUAUUCAAAUUUCUCUAGGGUUUUGAGCAAUGUGGGAAGUUUGUACCAUUGAGUUUUUCGGCAAGAAGAUUUACUUAAGCGGGUUUGAAUGGACCAUAUUAGCAAGACCGGUAAAACAAGUAAAAGAUCUGAGGUGUUAGCAUGCAAGUGCUGACUAUCUUUAGAUCGAUUUCUGGGGUUCUUCUUUGCCGAUUGUUGAUGAUUUUUCAGUUCACAAAUUUGAAAAUCACUUGAAACUUUAUUGUUCAGGCAAUGACUUUUCCAAUUUAACUUUAUUUGAUAAAAUUGUAUCUAAUGGAUGUUCGGAUUAGUUCAUUCUACAACAAAGGUAUUGCUAGAAGCCCCAUUUAUAAUUUUGAAUUUGAUGUUACCCGUUUGCAAGAAUUUAUAACUAGUAAUUUUUUCCGAUAAAAUUUUGAGAUAUAUUCGAGGUAGAUUGAUUAACAAAUGGAGUUGGUUAAAUGCUGAAGAGGCUAGAUGUGCACUACUAUUGGGUGGAACAGUAAUGUAAACUGUAUCAUUAAAUGAUAGUUAAAUUACUACUUUGUUUCAUAUUUAUGUAUCUACUUAUCUUGUUAUCUAUUAUUAUUUUGUGGAAGAGGAUUAUUACUUACGCUGCUUAUGGUUUUAUGUCUGUUUUUUAGCUAACGAAAGAAUUUUUAAUUCGGCACUAGAAAUAUUAGGAAGGCAAAUAUGAAAUAUAGGAUUUGGUUGGUGAUAUCUAGGGGUGGAAUCCAGCUCGCUGUGCGAAACCAGCUCGGUGUUCUUGCUGGAAAUGAUCUCGCAGAUUCAAUCGUUCGUUUAUGUCAAAAGACGACACGAGCUGACUUUUUCAGCUCGUUUGAUAAACGAUCGCACCGAGAUAGCUGGUCAGCUCGCUCGUGUUCGACUCGAUUAACAGCUCGAAUAAUCAUAUUUUUUAGUUUAUAUAAUGUUAUAUAACUUAUAUUUAUAUAUAUAAAUAAAAAUAUAUAUGUUCAUACAGUUUUUUGUAUUGAUUUUUUUUUCAACUAAUUAGUAAAAUCGCAACUAAUAUAAAAGGCUUAUUUAUAUGUAAAAUUUUAAUCAUUAAAUUAAAGUCUAAUGCUAAAGAUCUCAUAAUUUAUUUUUUUAUAUAUAUCCUUUUAAUUUAAAUUUGUUUUUGAGAUAUCUCAAUUUUUGGCUUCAUUAAUAAUGAGCCGGAACUUGUGUUCGUAAACGAGCGAACACGGGAGCUGCACUUUCGACUCGAUACCGUAAUGAGGCCGCUCGAGCUCGGCUCGUUAUGAUACGAGCGACACAGCCGCAUCAGCUCGCUCGUGUUCGGCUCGUUGACACCCUUAGUGAUAUCAGUAUGCCUGGGUAGUCUGUUGAAAGAUUAAUGUAAUUAUAACUAUUGGAGAUAUGCAUAAAUUUGUGAUUUUAUUGGUGCUUUAUAGAUAGAUGAUUGAUUGACGUAUAUGCGGUAUCUACAUAUUGCUUGGAUUAGGAUGACACUUCUCUAUGCUAUAUAUCAAAUAUAUACUAAAGAUCUGAUGUUGUUUUGAAUCUAUGGGGAAAGAUUUAAAAAAAAAUUAUAAUUUCUGGGGAUAAUUUCUUAUGUUUCUCUAUGAAGCUAUGAAAUUACAUAUUCAUCCUUAGAAAAUUUUAUUGUAUCCCUAUAAAGUUUUAAAUUAUCAAAUAUGUCCCUCUAAAGUAAAAUAUGCAAAUUUAUCCCUACAAGUUGAGUACCAUUACCGUUAAAUUUUCAUCAAUCUGGCCAUGAUGCCCUUGUAAAAAUUGGCUUUUCUAAAAAUAUUUUUUAGGAUUUAUAAUAUGUGGUUCACCUAAACCGACACAAAAGUCAGAAUAAAACAUUAAAAAUAAGAAAAUAUUACUAAAUAUUAUUAGAAAGAUAUUUAUUUAACAGUAAAAUGGUUAUUUCCUUGAAGAAAAGUCUACUUUAACUGGUCAACUACAAGGGAAGGACAUAUUCACAGAUUAUGCAAUUUUGGAGGGAUAUAUCUGAUAACUAAAACUUUAUGGCGAUGCAUGAAAUUUUGUAGGAAUAAAUAUGCAAUUUGUUACUUUGUAGGGACACAAAUGCAGCUAACCUUGAUUUCUUUAGAAUGAACAAAACAUGAUUGGAAAUGGAAGGUGUGCAAAAAUGAUGAAUAGAUUGCUAUUUGAGGGGAAAAACACAAAGAUGCAACAUCAAACAUGCUUACAUUGUUUAUGAAUUAAAGAGACAUAUGGAACCUUUUAAGGACAUAAAGACAUAUAUAGACAAAGAUCAAAAGCAAUUUGGGGACAAAGAUCAAAAGCAAUUUGAUUGUAAAUAUAUAGACAAACGAGAAAGCUACAGUAAUUUUAGUAUUUAGUUCCUAGCUAAGAAGUUCAAAAAUAUACAGUUCGACUAAUUUUAGAUUUGAGGUUGGCUUAUUAGAUCCUACAAUCACAAGCGAAUUUUUUUAAAAAUUUAAUUAUACUUAAAUCAUUCCAGUCGGUGGUAUAACGAAAAAGUUAUAGGUAAUAUUUUGAUUCGGUCCCUGGAUAUAUAUAUAUAUAUAUAUAUAUAUAGAGUCCGGCUACUAUACUUUUAUGAGUAUUGGCUCCCUUAUACUCAUAAGUUUUCGGCCCUUAUAUUUAUUCCAUUGAUUAUUUUCACCCGUUAGAUCAUACUAUUCAACCAACUACUCACUCAACCCUAGGGGACCACUAUUAUUCUAAGUGAGGAUCACCAUCAUCCUACCCACACAUCCAAUCAAUCAACGGUUAAAAAUUUAUGAGUACAAGGGGGUCUGUACUCAUAAAAGUAUAGUAGCCCUAGCCUAUAUAUAUAUAUAUAUAUAUAUAUAUAUAUAUUGUGAAAUAGGUAGCACGCUAGUACGCUACCCGCUUCGUUUAUUUCAUUUAGAAAUAAACUUAGCUUGAAAUGUGAAUCAACUAGGAUUCGAACUUAGGUCUCGGGCGCCAACCAUCAAGUCCUUUGCCACUUGCUCUAGGGACGGUCGGCGUCCCUGGAUAAAUAUUGAAAACUAUAAUUUAGUCCUUAACCGUUCUCUAACCUAUUAUAUCAAAACUUUUAUUAAUUUGGACAAAUUAAUGGGCACUCAAAACAUUGUCGAUCAAGCCGCAACAUCCUAACUAAAAUAAUGCAUUUAAGGUUAUUAGUUCUUUUUAUGGUUUAUAUUUAAAUUUCAUCUUUUUCUUAUUUAUUUGGUCAGUUAUGAAAAGAAUAUGAAGAAAUAAAUAAAUUAAGAAAGAAUAACCUUAACUUGGAGAAGAAUAGAGGAGAAUGCAUGCUUCUAUGAGGUAGGAUUUUAUUGCUCCCAAGCCUUCUAUGCUACCACGAAGGAGAGAAAAGGAUCACUCCCUUUCGAAGCUUCAGAACAAUCCCACCCCCCCCUCCCCCAACUCUGUUUAACUAGUUGGGAAGAACAUGUGUAUAGGAGUUAAGCUGCUAAUAAGUUGAAUUAAGGCCACAUUUGCUAAAACCCCGUCAUUCUUUAGAUAUUUGCAAAUUAAUUAAAUUUGGAGUUGUCAGAUUAUAUGGGGCUCUUUUGGUGGUUAGAUUAUGUGAUCAUCACCUAAUUUCUUAUUGAGUUUUUGAACAAGUUUUCUUAUGACAUGUCAGGCUGACCAGAAUCUUGCAAAUUAUAUUCGGAUUUCGUAUUAGUUAAUCGGAUGUCAAAAUGACAAGAAACUUGAGAGCACUCUGAAAAUAAUUCUCUUAUUUGAACGGGAAGUUUUUUGUGAUGUUUGCGAUCAUUUGAUUUGUCAAAUAAAAUAAAAUUUUCUCUGUUUGGAAUCCUAAUUUACUAAUCAGAGGAUCCGAGCAUUGGACUGUGCUGAAAUUUUAGGGCGUAUGAGAUUUAACAAGUUGUCAAAAUGUCAUAAUUUUUUAUACCAUUUGACACAUGAAUAAGUCAAAAUCAAAAUUAAUCAAGAUUUUUGAGCUAACUAAUUUAGAAGAAUCAGGUGAAUAGGUUACCUCAAAAUUCAAGAUCCUAUUCCUUCGAAUUUAAAAUCAACAUGAUGUUAAAAAAUCUUUUUACUUUUUUAUCACCAUUUCAUUUGCAGAAUAUCGUAUAAAAAUAAAUAAGUUUAAAAGCUAUUCUAUAUCGAGUAGUGUGAGUCUGUUUUAAUAUAAUUUAAACCUGGGUCUCACACUUGCAAGCUUUAAAUUAUCUUGCUACAGUAGUGAUGACGCUGAGGUUUAAGUUGUUUUCCAACUUGUAUAUAAAUUUAACCAGGCAUGUUAUUAGUUCACUGAGCCUUAGCAUAUUCAAUGCCUCUUUAUCCAGGAAACUAUUGGUAAGAUUAGAUUGUCGUAACUGCAUUAUUUACUAAAUGCACUCAAAUCGUGAGCAUGAUUUGCAGCUUAAAGUUCAAGAAGGAAAGCUUGUUCACUUACACAAAAGGAAGCCAGGAAAAAUUCGAUCUCUACCAAAGAAGCAGAAGCUGAAUUAUACUCGAAAUGCAAAAUUGAAGCUUAAAAACCUGGAGGAGGUAGUCAGGACUUUACCUGUACGUCGCAGGCUUAAGAAACAGACACAGAGUGCUUCUAUGAAAAAGACAAAGGGGACAAAAAUUUGUAGUGAAUCCGCUAAAAGUGUUAGUUCUUCAGGAGUUGAUGGCUCAAAGGAUGGUAAAACAUGUCGCUCUUUCGAGCUGCCUCAACUGAAAAGCCUUUGUGACAUAUUUUAUGGUGCAUUGGCUGCAUCAUCAGCUGAGGACACUUCCCAAAAAGGUUCCAAGGGCUUCACUGGCAGUCUGGAAUCCCAGGUGAAAAAUAUAAGGGACAAAGAUGCUGUUUCAAAAUCUGUAGGCAGGAAAGAUGGAGCCUUCUCUGAUAAGAAGUAUGCUGAUUCCCUUUUGUCUAUUGAUUCCCAAAGCGAUUUUCUGGGCACAGAAGGUAAUUUGUUGACUGAGCCUGUAGAUUUAAAUCAGAAGUAUGCUGGUGAACCAAGUGCGCUGAAUCCUGUUCGUGAAUUGAAUUUGAAUUCUGAUUCUGAGAUGAGUCUUCUUGGUGAGACAAGACUACAAAUUACAUCUGAUGCUGCAAAAGAACCACCAGUUUCAAUUGAGAAUUGUGUUCCAAAUUCAGAUACAGUAAGUUCGUUGUCUCUGCUAGGUGAUUGGAGUUCAGCACUCUUGACUUCUCAUCCACAACGGGGUAUGGAAGCAACUAAGUUGGAUUCGUGUAAUUCCAAGAGAUUCGGAAAUUUGAGAACUCCAUUAGAUCAAUGUUUUCCCUCUCGAGACAGAAGGAUUCAUGAGGAAUUCAACGGUUUGCCUCUACGCUUUAGUGGAGAACUUAUCCAGUUAGCCUCAAGUUCUGGUUCCGCUUAUAAUGAAUCCCUUAAGAAGCAAAUGCUUUAUCCUGUUUAUAGCACUAUACUAUCUAAUCAUGUUGAGUUGAUGAAUGACCAGCCAAAAAUGAAAGGGAAUAUUUCUAGCGCAUCACUUGAGGAGAUAGGCCGUCCAAAUAAGUUGCUGGAACAGCUGUCCGCUGCUGCAGAAACAGCAACAUCUGAAUUGGGGUUUACCGGCUUUCGAAAUUUCGGAAAAUCAGAAGCACGAAACCAUGAGUCAAAUAAUAAAAUUUGGCUUUCUCAAUCUCACUCAUAUCAAUCAGAGGUUUCAGGUUGUCGGUGCAGCGAAACUAGUAGAACUCAAAAUUGCAUCAAUGGAGAGAAAUCGAUAUGCGAGUUUCAGCCUCCUAUGGGACAAACGAUGCGCUUGAUGGGCCAAAAUGUGACAGUUGGGAGACAGAGCAAAGAACAUGAAGCUUCUAUUGAAGGGAAGGUAUGGACAGAUAAGGAAAUAAUUCUGGAAAGUCGCCCCUCAGUAAGACCAUCUGAUAUAUCCAGCCCAAAUGGAUGGCCUGAAGGGGGACCAAUUCACUCCGUAGCUCUAUCAGAAGCAGACGGUUUAUUAAAGCAAAGCUUUUUCCGUCCAGUAGAAGCUCCACCAAGCUUUUAUAGAAUGGCAGCAUCUGGUACUACUUUCCGGCAAGUGCAACUUAAACACCAAGAUGAAUCGAUAUUGAAAAGCGGAAAUUCCUCAGAAAUUGGGAACUACGGUUACAACACAAAUCUCUGUAGCCAUUCUUUUUCUCCACACGGUUCUAACUUUGGAUAUCUGAAUGGUGGAAUGGGUAAUUCAAGUUCUACCCAUUACAAACAUAGCAGAAGUGUAUGCUGCAGCACACGAUCUUUCAACCCCCCUAUUCCUAAUCAUGAUUAUACUAGCUUUGCUCGUGAUUCAACAGCUCACUCUCCAGCGUGUCUUCCUCACUGGCUGUUAAAUGCAAUACAACAAAGGGAAAUGCAAGAGCCUUCUUGUCUUUGCAAUGAUGCUGCCGGUUUACAGGGACCAUGUACAAUUCCAGGAUCAAAAAUUUUUCCCCUCGCCCGUACAUUUCGUCCUUCCUUAAUAUCUUUUCCUAUUUUCAGUUUCAAUAUAUCCCCCGCGUACGGCAUACAUGCUCCAGCUCCGUUUGUCCACCCUUCGUGUGUACCUUUAGCUGAUACAUCCUGCAAGAUGAAAACAAGGGUUGGCACGCAAUACGUAAGUAGAAAAAGGCAUGCAGAGAUGGAUGAUAGAUUCACGAAAACGGUGAAAAAGCCUAACCUGAGUACAUGCGCAGAGUUAAACACGCCAAAAGAACAGGGAAGUGUAGGAGAGCUGGAUCCUUCUGCACAAAAUGUCACAGAAGUAUCGAACCACCAUGCGAACAAGCAGAACAAUUGGCAUUGACAGGUGUAUUUAUGUUUACGCCUAAUUUUGACAGUAGAUCAGGAAGAUGGAAUUUAGUUUUAGAAUGAACUCAUGAUCUGAGGUGGAUGUUUUCAAGAUGUUGUUAUUAUAUUUGUAAGCUGUAACACAUAUUUGACUUGACUGGAGUUCUGUUGUUGAAGCAUGCUCGUGAGUCGUAGUCAGAUGCAAACUGUUAAAGAAUUGUGGAAGGAGAUGAGGGAGCAUCCUCUCCUCUGUACACCUCAUGAAAUUAUGGCACAAGACAAGCAAAUUCUGGGGCCACUCUGACUUGCUUUCCUAGCUCUGCCCGUGGUGAGCUAAAUAUCCACCGCGAACAUGGUAAUCUUGUUUGGACUUCUUACGGUAGUUUUUGGAUUUUAGUUUUCUAUGUUUUAUAGUUGUUUUUCCACUGCCACUUACUGUUUUCUUUAAUCUUCUACUUCGUUCGGCUGUUUUUAUUCUCCACGCUUGAAACUGAUAUGACUCUUUUGUUCUUAUCGGUCUUUCCAAUUUGUUUGGAUCACGUUUUGUUAGUGAUGAAUCAGACUCUAAAAACUAGAGUCUGCUUUUCGGUCAGGGCGCCCAUUUUCGCUAGAAAGUUUCUUCUUCUUUUUUGUUUUUGUUUUUGUUUUUGUUUUGUUUAUAAACAGAUACGAAUUCUGCUUUGUAGGUACAAUAAGAUCUUAGUUUGCAAUUGUGUUUCUAAUGCAUUUCGUUUUCAUGCUUUAAUAAAAUGUCUACAAAAUUUAAAAGUAUUUUAAAUUCUAGGUACUCCAUAUUGUUACCAGAAAAAGAAACAACAAAGAAAAAGAAAAAAUGCUUACAACGACUGCAACAUCAAAGUAGUACUGAUGUUUGAAAAGCUGAGAUGGAAAGGCACCUCAAACGUGUUACAUCAUCAUCUAUUGCGAAAGCUACUGAAGCUGGUCUAUCACGUGAUGAGUGCAAUGUCUCUUCUACUUCUCAACCAGGUGUAGAAGGUGGUGAUAAACCUCUCACGUAGUGUGUCGAUCUGGCCCAAUUUGUUUUGUCAAAGCUCUCUUAUUCGCAAACUUUGAACACCCAAUAUAUAUUUAUACAUUAUUUUUUUAUAAAUUUGUUAUAUAGUAAUUUAUUAUUAUUAUUAUUGGGUACGUAGCAGUUCUAAAUUCUCCGUGUAUAUAUAUAUAUAUAUAUAUUUUUUUUGCUUUAACCGAAUGAAAUUUUUUUUUAUUUUUUCGUUUAAAUGGAACCAAAGCUAUUCUAAACCGGCUCAAAUCCUUCACAUAUUUUUUUUUUCUUUACUUGAACCGAAUUGAUUUUUUUUUUCUUUGUUUAAAUCAAAUUAAUUUUUUUGUACUUAAACCGAACCCGAUCACAACUUUACAUUGAACCAAACUAUUCUUCUUCCACUUUCUUUGAUUGUUAUCCUUCUUUAUUGGCCAAAUGAAUUUCACGCCUGCUUGUGGUUUCUUUUUUCGCUGUAUUCUUUUCCUUUGUUAUCGUUUUUAAUUUUUUAUUAUCUACGAAUUAUUGUACUAGUACUAUUCCGAGUGCUCACUGCGCCCAGAAGUGCUCCAAAGUCCAAACCAGCAAGUACUGAUAUAGUUAAAACAUAGAUAAAAUUUUAAGCGAGCAUUUUGUACUUUGUUCGUGCUGUUGAAAAAAUAUAUCCAAAUUAAACCACCGGUGUGCCGCGAGCGUAACGCGAGAGCAGAAGCUGCACAGUUGUUUUAUUUUGUUAAUUACGAUUACACAACAGCGGAUAGAGGUACAAACCGAAAACAACAAAACAUCUUAAAAAAAAAAAAAAAAAAGAGGAGGAAGGCGCAGCAGCGUCCAUUAACAGAAAUAGGUGUCAUCGUUAGUGAAACUUAGUAUCCAUUCCCCACCGGGAAGGCGUAGGGGUAAAAGCCGCCUCCGCUGCUUCCCCCGCCGUCCACCACCCCACCGUAAUCACCACCAUCGCCGCCGUACAAAAACCCCACCGGUUGAUCAACGGCGGAGAUCAGCUCAUCCUCGCCGCGGCGAUCGUAAAAGCCGCCGGCGGCCGCCCCCUCGGAAUCCAGCGGCCAGGAACAAAGCCCCGCAACCCCCGGGCGGGCCUCCCGAUCCGCCUCCAGCUCACGCAGCCGCCGCGCCCGCUUCUCCCCGCCGCCGCCGCCGCCGCACUCGGGGACGGCGGCGGUAGCAGUGGCAGGGGCUGCAGCAGGAGGAGGAGGAGGAGGAGGGGUGGGCCCGGGGCCGACGAUGAGGCGGGGGAGGAGCUGGGGGUCCCCGACGAGCUUGAAGAGGAACUCGAGCAUCUGGCGCGGGCGGCGCUCCGUCUCCUGCACCCGGCGCCACAUGCGCGCCACCCUCUCCUCGAUGGCCUUCUGCUCCUGCUUCAGCCUCACCACCUCCUCCGCCACCGCCGCCUCAUCGCCCUCCUCCAUCGUCGUCGUCAUCAUCAUCUUCUUCUUCUUCUUCCCGUUCACGCCCCAACCGGUGCUGGUAGUAGUCGACGACGACGACGACGACGACGAACAACAAGCCGACGAAGAAGAAUUAGAACCGCCGCCUCCGCCGCCGCCGCCGCUGUUCCGGCGCGCGAUCUGCCGCAGCAGGUGCGUCUGCCCCCGUAGGAACGACGCGUGCGCGAACUCCCACCGGUCCGGAUCCACCUUCCGAAAGCCCUGACCAUCACGAUCAUCAUCAUCAUCAGCCACCCCCCAUGCACACACAAAUAUAUGUAUAAUUACUACUACUACUACUACUAUUGUUGUUAUUAUUAUUAUUACAUUCAUCCGUCCGUCCGUUUGAUUUUAACUAGCUAGCUAGAAAUUGUAGCAUUAAUUUGUACGCGCUUAGCAUAUAAAUAAUAUAUAUAUACUGACGUACAUAGGUAUUGAGCUGGCGGACGAAGCUGGAGAAGUUGUUGUGCUUGAAGUGCGCCGGCAGCAGCGUCUGCGAGAAGACGAAGGGGUCGACGACGACGAAGCUGUUGUUCUCCUUCCCCCACGCGAUCACCGCGUCCGUGCUCGGCUCGUUCACCAUCCGGUACGUCUUCACCACGAACGGCGCCGCCGCCAAGGCUCCUCCCCCUCCCCCGCGGUAUCCCCUAAUCAUCAUCAUAUGAUCGUUGUUAUUCUUAUUCUUAUUCUUACUACCAUCCUCCUCCAUCAUCAUCGUCAUCAUCGAUAUCGUCGUGUCCCCUAAAUAUAUUUAUAUUUAUAUUUAUAGGUAAUAAGAAUAGUAUAGCAUACAGAGACUAAAAAUUUCGCUAGAUUUUCUUGUACUAAAUUGGGAAAGGAAAGUGGAGCAGAGUGGAUUGAAGAGGAAGGGUCGGGUGAUUAGUUUGUUCUAAAGAGGGGAGGGUUUUUGUAGCGGUCGAGCAGUGCGGCGAUCGAGGGGGCCAAAGCGAGGGGACAGGUGCCAAACACUUGCGGACGCGUGUCUCCCUCUCCGGACUCUUCCGCUUGCUCCCCAGCCAGCAAAAUAUUUUUUUUUUUUUCAAAAAAAAAAACACUAUUUUAUUUUAUUUUAUAUAAUAUAAUAUAAUAUAAUAUUUCUUCAAAAUUCACAAUCAAAUUUAACUUUUUCUGACUCUCCGCCUCUUCUUUUUUUUUUUUUCCUUUUUUUUUAUUUAACGGAGCUCUAGCUCCUACAGUGGUGAUUGGCUGUUCGCCGUGUCGAACACGUGGUCCUUCUCUACCAGCUCCAGCUAAACCAGCCGAAAUAUUAAAUAAAGUAGGAAAAAAGAAAACUUAUAUUAGUAUUAAAAUUAUCAACAACGUACAACAUAUUCUUUCGGCACUAAUAAAAAAAAAAUAUAUACUAUCUAUAUACGCCGACUAUAGAAGUGUAAAUUUUAUGCCUCUUUGAAUAUUAAUUUAUAAGAAAAUUAAUAAUAUAAGUAGAAAUGUGAACUUCGUCGAUCAGUAUAUAUACGCAUAAAUAAUAAAUAUAUAAUUAAAAAUCUUCUAUCAUAGAGAAUAUUUUUUCCCUUUAGAAAAAGAUAAGCAUUAUCCAUACAUUUUUUGCUAAAAUUUUUUUAAAAAAAAUGUUUGUGGACGUCCAAUAGAACGUCGACACGUCGGUGAACAGGAGUCCGUGGUUGCUUGGGACCGGAUAGGUGAUCGGGUCUGUGCAAAUCGUGGGCUCUCCAAAUCGAACCGUGGUAGAGCUAGGGUGUGGGUCGGGUUCGGAUAGGGUCCACAUUGUCACCGUCGUACGGUCAAAACGUGGCUACGCUACAUGGCGCGAUCCCAUUGGCCCACCUACCUCGCCGAGCCAAACAACGCUACGCGACAAAAAAAAAAAGCCGGGGCCCACCGCUCUGUAACGCGACCACGUUGCAGGGAGCCUAUGCAGGAACACGUGGACUUUAAAACUCGCACUAGUGGGUGUGAGCUAAGGAGCAAUCCUCCCCUGACACCUACAACGUUGGCAUAAAUUUUAACGUACUAAUGUUUGAAUGAAUUAAUUCGCGUUUAUUUAAUUAUCUUAUUAAUUUUCUUAACAUUAAAAAAUUAAUAAUCUUCUAAACAUUUUGGAUUCUUGAAUUAUGAGAUGUAAUAUAUGCACCCUUACAAUAAAAUAUGCAUGUAACAUUUUUCAAAAAUUGUUAAAUAAAUAAAGCGAAUAAGGUGCUAUCUUUUUUUUAAAAAAAAAAUUAAUUUCUCCUAUCCUAAUGUAACAUAUAUGUUACGUAAGAUUUAUCCAAAUCAAUUUUUUUAUACCGUAUAAAAUAAUAAAGAGCCUAACAAAAAAUAGUAUGAUAAUUUAUAAUAAAUUAAUGCUCUUUAAAAAUAAUUUAUUAUAUUUAUGCGUAAUGUAAAAGUAAUUUUAUGUGAAAUAAUUGUAACAGAAAAAGACUUUCCCGUACGUGUUUGUCGUGUUUUGGGUUAACGUGGCUGGGCGACAUUUACUGAUUCAAAAAUGCAGUGAGGUCUUUUCGUUAGCGUGUUGUACGCGCGUGCCCCGCACGUGCCAUUUCGGCUAAGGAUUUGUUUAGCGUUGAGAUUAAUUUUUCACCCUUGGUGGAUAAAAUGAUAUUUGAUCAGAAACAUGUAUUGCUACGCUUCUCCGUUCUAUAGACUAUAUACGCGCCAUCUCUACCUAGGCUAGAACUGACAUCUAUGUGAUAUAUUGAAUAAAAUGAAAGUUAGAAUAAAAAUAUGUAUACGUAUUGCUAUACUUUUCAGUUCUUUGAUAGAAUUAUCCAAAUUAUAUAGUAAGAACUUACGUACUCUUUGAACGACGAGACACUAUAUCUUAAAUUCUUAAUAAAGAAUAAAUGAGUAUUCUUUUUUUUUUUAAUCGUACUUUGACUUAUGUAUGCAGCUUCAAUAAGUGACUUUGACAAACAUGAUCAUUUUUUUUUUAGAGAUAGGUAGCAUAUUACUAGUUUCGUUUAUUUUAUUUAGAAAUAAAUUUAGUUGAAACUAUAAAUCAAUUAGGAUUGAAACUCAGGACCUCGAAUACUAAAUACUAAAUUCUCAUGUUAAUAAAGAAACAAAUAUGAUCUAUUAAUAAUAGCCCAGAAAACCAAAAGAGAGAGAGAGAGAGAGAGAGAGAGAGAGAGAGAGAUGUAUGUGUUGUUGCGGUGUCAUGUUCCAAGUGUUAAUAUGAGGAGCUCCGCAUGGAAAGUUUUGAAUGCAUUGGGGGGUCAACAUGCAGGAAAUAAGAGGAGCACGAACGCAGCGAUUUGGUUGGCAGCACGUGCAGCGAAGAUCGAUGCUUGGCGGUCUGUGAGGAGGGCACCUGGCAGGGCGGUGGGGCCCACGAGAUGAGUUGGCAGCUGCUGUACGGUGGGGAUUUAUUUAAUGAUGAAGCAGCAUCGCUCUUCAUCGUCGUGGAUCUGGUGAUCGAGUUUUAAUUGAUUUUAUUUUAUUAAUCAUCAAGCCUCUUAAUGAUGAUGAUGAUGAUGCACACAAAAAAAAAAUAUGUAUAUUUUUUAUCUUAUAAUUAAUAAUUAAUUAAUUAAAGUGGGGUGUGGUAGUAGCGUAGUUGGAUGGAUGGGACGUGGUUUGUUUCUUCCGAAACGGUCGGAGCCGUUUUCUAUUUUUAUUUCAUAAUAAUAAGGUGGAGGAUUAGUUAGCUGAUGGCGCUUGCAUGAUUUUGAGGGUUUUUUUUUUUUUUCUUUAGUUAACGUAAUUGUGCGAAUUAAUAAUAACAUCACAUCACAUAAGAAGUAGUAUUGCUACGUGUAUCGAAGAACAUCACUCGAAAUUCUACAGAUAAGUUAUCUGAGCAAACAUUUCUGCGUAUUUGGUUAGUAAACUACGGUCUAAUUUAAACUACUAAUAUAAAAAGUAUUUGUUAACCCAUCAACAGUGCUUAGAAACAUCUUAGAUCAUUUUACCAUAUCAUUUUUGAGCCAGACCAGUUUUAAGCACACGUUUGGCUCGCAAACUAGCCAAAAAGCUCAAUUACAAGUUAUUAUAGUAAUUAAAAAAAAAAAUCUUAUGGCAAUUUGCCAACUAUAGUAGAGCUAAACUAAACACCCAACACCUGAGUAGCACGUGUAAAUAAUUUGGAUAUGAGAUAAGAUUAGCAAGUAUAUAUUACCAUCAAAAUUAAUGACAAUCAUCACAGAAACGAGCCCACACGGCUUACUGCCUUGACCAUAUGCGAGGCUAAAUGAAAUCACAGUUCCCUUCCUUCGUAGCCUGAUAAAGAUCUAAGUAGAAUAAGAUAAGAGAGCGGUGUUGAGAUAGAAUAAGACUGUGGUGGCCCAGAAAGCUUAGAUAGUAGGUCGGGAUUGGAGACAGCGGGAUAGAAAUGGAUUCGCUAAUCUGUCCCAAUCUCAUGGGUGGGAUUUAUUUUUUUGAGAGAGAGAUAGGUAGCAUGCUAUCCGUUUCGUUUAUUUCAUUUAAAAAUAAACUUAGCUGAAAAUGUGAAUCAACUAGAAUUCGAACUUGGGUCUCGAAUACCAACCACCAAAUCCUUAAUUUGCCACUUGCUUUAGAAACGAUCGGUACAGGUGGGAUUUAUUAAAAUCCCAUUCCAGAGGAUUAUUUGAAUCGAUUAGAUUCCUUUUGCAACCCACAUGCUCCCAAUCAAUAAGCCCUAAAAUGUACUUGCUUAGAUGUUGGUCCACAGAAUUAUGCGUUGAUGCAAGUCCUGUAUGUCGAACAGAAGAGCAUAUAUAUAUAUAUAUAUAUAUAUAUAUAUAUAUAUAUAUAUAUAUAUAUAUAUAUAUAUAUAUAUAUAUAUAUGCAACGCUGAUACUUUAAUUGUCAUUAGAAUGUGUGUUUUCACCUUUAAUUGCAGAUGCGUUAAUUGUCAUUAAUUAGAAUGUCUGUUCUGACCUUUAAUAGCAGAUAUCGUGUCUACCGACAAUCAUAAGAAAAUAGUAUCAGGUACCAGGGAGGAAAACUCAGAAAACCACAUGGUGAGAUAGUGCACUUCCUUUGCCACCUUAUAACUCUUUUAAAGAUAACAUGCAACCAUUUAAUGGUUGCUGUUCCAGAUUCACACAAGGACCUCUCAUUAAACAGCCAUUCUUCACAAUCUGUGUACAUGAUAUUCACAUGAAUCGCAUCGAAUAAGAAUUACAAUAAACAUGAAUUCAAUAGGAUACAAAUUGAUUUCAAAUGGGCAAGGCAUUAGGUCGUAGGAGAACUGUAUGUGCGCUAUUGCACUAUAAACCCAAUAGAUAAUACAAGAAGAACGCUAAAGAAACGAAAACAGGUAACAACUUGGGGCAAUUAUCAUCACAGCAUGACAAAUUGCCCUAGCUGAGAACUACCAAUUGAAUAUAAUAUGAUGAAUAUCCUACUAUAUAAUGCCGACACUGCCUUCAAUGCAUAGAAUUAAGGUUCUAUUAGCUAAUGACAAACAAAAAAAUUUAGCAACAUCGAACGUAAGGAAUAUUACUUACCUCAGUUACCUAACCUGGCGGGGACCUUCCUGUUGGGCUCAAAGACAUACUUGAUCAGUGAAUCUUUGAUAGAUAGCAACUCAGGGAACUCAUUCUUUAGCUUGGAAGCAUCCAUCUCAUUGUUGCUUCGAGGAGCGACGAUUACUCUAGCCUGUUCUUCGAGGGUGAAAUUGGCCCACUUGAAGUUGGGAUCCAUGUAGCUUUUGUACAUCUCCAAGAUCUCAUUGUGACUGAUGACGCCGGGAUUCGUGAAGUUCCAUAUGCCCCUACAGUUCCUUUUUGCCAUCUCAACUGAUAUUGGCAGAAGCUCAUCCAAGACAGUCAUACUGUUCGGAAUGUUCACCACUUUGUCAUAUCGCGCGAUCUUUGUAAUGAAAUUACGAGGAUUGCUGAGGUCAGAAGAUAUGGGCAUUCGAACUCGCAGUGUACAGACAUUAUCAAACUCUUUCAAAAGCUCUUCAACCUGCAUCAUCCAACAAAAGAACCGUAAGAAACAGUUUACUAAACAUGCAACAUAUCAAAGACGUAACAGACCUACAAUUCAUGUAAUAAGGUGUUUACCAUAGCCUUGGUCUUCGAAUAGAAUGAUCCGGUAAAGUUUGGCUUGUCUUCCUCCUUGAAGCCAAUACCUGACCCUUGCGGAUGAGCAUCAUCAUAUUCAAAUAUACAUCCAGUUGCAUAAUUCAUCAUUAACAGCCCAUGUUCCCUGCAGACAUCAGCAAGAGUCAAAGUGCCCACAACAUUGGUUCGAAUCGUCUCAGGCUUGUGUGAUUCGCACCAAUCAACAUUAGGUCUACCGGUCACACCAGCUGCAUUAAAUACAUGUGUUGGUUUAACAUUCUGAAUGUCUAAUAUCAGCUGAGAACGCUCUUCAAGCCGACCCCUGCCAUAUUCGAAGGGUAUGCCUUGCUUCUCACAUAUCUUCCCAAGAAGCCCACCGAUCCAUCCUGUCCGACCAUAAAUCAGGAACUUAAUAGACAGCUUUUGAGAACUGUUUUUUGAAGUGGGGACCACCAUUUUCAUUUGAGUAUUUGUGAACUGAUAGACCAUUCCUUUGGUCUCUUCACAACCCUCAAACUGCCCAGGCAUCAUAAACAUCCUUGGAUGAGGCAAUAGGGCGCCAGAAACAUCGCCCCACCAAUUGGGAUUACUUGUAUACCAUUCCUUAGUCUUUCUUAACCCUUCCUCCCAAGUUGUUCUCUCAGACCACCCAAUGUUCUUCAGCUUCUGGUCAUCCAAAAAGUACCUUUGAUCAUUAAAUGGCCGAUUAUCAACAAACUUAAUAACGUUAUCAGGGUCCAGAGAGAAAAGCUUGCAAAUAUCUUUUGCCACAUCUAUCACUCUCCUUUCUUUCUUCGUCCCAAUGUUGUAAACAUGUCCAACCUCUCCUCUGUGAAGAACAACCUCAAAUGCCUCAGCAACAUCCUCACAAUAUAAGUAGCUCCUUACAUUAGAUCCGUCUCCAUGAAUUGGAAGAGGUAGACCCUUCAUAGCCAAGAGAAUAAACUUUGGGAUAAGCUUCUCAGGGAACUGGUUCGGUCCAUAUACAUUGUUUCCUCGAGUAGUUAUGACGGGUAGGUCAUAUGACCUCCCAUAUGCCAUUACAAGCAUCUCUGCUCCGGCUUUUGUAGCAGAAUAUGGGUUUGUAGGAAGAAGCUGUGAUGCCUCGUGAUUCCCAACCACAGCAUCCUCAUCGGUCUCUCCAUAGACCUCAUCAGUACUAACAUGAAUGAACCGUCGAAUUUGGCCGGUGACCUUGCAGGCCUCAAGGAGGACGUGGGUCCCGUAAAUAUUAUUUUUGGUGAAUUCAAAUGAGUUGCCAAAGGAGUUGUCGACGUGGGUCUGGGCCGCGAAGUGCAUGAUGGUAUCAAUGGACUCUGUGAUGAGAAGGAAGUUGACAAGGUCAGCACUCGCGAUAUCUCCUUUGACGAAUUUGAAGUUGGGGGAUGAGCGAGAAGGGAGGAGAUUCUUGAGAUUCGAGCAGUAGUCAAGCUUGUCAAGAACCACGAUCUUGUAAUCGGGGUAGUUACGGAGAAGGCGGUUGGCGACAUGGGAGGCAAUAAAGCCAGCCGCCCCUGUUAUCAGGAUGUUCUUAGGACUAUAUGUCGUCAUUCUCGUUUAAAUUUCACAAAAUCUGUAAUGCAGAAACCAUAUAUUAAAUUUUUUCAUGAUCUAAUUUGUAAUCCAAAAAAAUUCAUAAAAUUAAUACAAACUAGCAAGUCAUUUGCAGUGAAAAUGACUAUUUUUUACAAAUUCAAUGAAAAGAGAUUGGAGUACAAGUGAUCUGCAGUAAAACAAGAAAUAUCUACAGCAAGUCAUUUGCAGCAAAUAACUAGUUCUUGUUAAAAAAUUUGACGAAAAUAAAUACAGAUGACAAGCAAUUUGCAGCAAAAAUGGUAUUAUCUAGGUCAGAAGUAAAACAUGUAAUCUCUAAGGUGAGUCAUUUGCAGCACAUACAAGUUCGUGAUUUGCAGCAAAACAUGUAACAUCUAGGUUAAACCCUUGCCAAAAAAAAAAGAAAUAAUUUUUUUAACAAGUUUAAUGAAAGGAGAUUAGAAAACAAUUGAUUUGCAGAAAAACUCUAGGUUACGUUUUCUUGACUUAUUGGUUAUACGAAUUUGAGCCAGAUCACAUCUGACCGGACAGAUUCUACGGUCAAAAAAGUAGAAUGUACUCAGAAUGCAGUUGGAGUUUUUCAUAUGAGAUGUGGACAUUCGCAAAACCCACCAGCAGGCAAUAGUCUUUUAAACAUUCAUCAGAUCAGCACGAGUGAAUAAAUAAUUGACUAGAUCAUUUCGUACUCAUAAUUUAGAUCUAAUUAGUUAGUAGCUGAGGCAAACAUCAUUCCUUCCAUCUGUAAGGAAACAAUAAUCCUGACCUGGAAGCAGUGGUGGGUAAAGAACAAUAUUAAAUAUUAAAUAAAGAAUAAAGAUUAAACAACAACAAUGCACAUAUCUUAGUUGGAUCCCCAAGAUCCUAUUUUGAUAAUAUGUUUUUAGAAUACCCCAGAUCAGUUAUGAGCUUUGUCAGAAAACAAACACGCUACUUCAAAGCAUACUAAUCCAAAUGCAAAUACCAAUUUUUCAUAAGCUUAAAAGGGAGAAAUGUUACAAAAUCAAGUGCACAGGUCAAAUUAAUAAAGAAUCAAAUUCUGGUUCGACAAUGACAUAUGCAUAAACACAAAAUCAGAAGCUCCCAUAAUAACCGAGAUAAGGUACCAAAAUGCAGAGCAACCCAAAUUGGAUGAAUCCUUUCGAAAAUGCAAUCAAAAUACAUCGAAAGUUUCGAAGAACAGUAUUUAAAGAAAAAAAAAUCCAAAGAAAAUGGUAGAGAUAUCAGACAAAGAACCCAAAAAACACCUAAUUUGGCACUAGGAAAAGAUGAGUUGUAUGGAGACCCCCUCAAUUACAGGCCAUUUUGUAUUGGCCCCCAAACUUUGCUGUUAUUGACACCCAUAAAUUCCUAAAUUGAUUUGAAGAUUCACUGAAAUUAAUAGUUAAUUAGCUACCAACAAUUCACAGUUAUUAAAAUGCACGGUUCCAUCAAUGAUACAAAUAUUCAGAACAACUAAUUUCAACAAAAAUAUGUUGAAUUUAAUAAAUUUUCUAAUUUAAUUGACGAGAAUAACUUACAUUCCACAAAACCAAAACUUGAGAGGUGGCAAUCAAAAUAAAUAAUAAUAAUAAUAAUAAGUUGAGGUGUCCGUUUCAAAAUGUCCUACAACAGAGGGGUUAUCCCUGCAUCUUAACCAAAUUAAAGAGACAAAACUACUCAACAAAUCGAGAAAUUUUAUCCACCGAAUCAAAAGCUACAUGAUUCGACUAAGACUAGGGUACAAAAAUCCCAGAUCAGAUCCCAAAUCACAACCAAAUUGCAAGCGAAUUAAACGCUAAAUCGAGAUCGGAGAGAGAGCCAGAGGGAGAUUCGAUUCGAUUCUUACGAAUUUGGGUCCCCGAUCGCGGAGACGAGUGGCGAUAUCGUCGUCGUUUUUAGGGCAAAGAGGAGAGGGGAGGGAACGAAGUGUGUGUGUGUGUGUCUAUAUAUAUAUAUAUAUAUAUAAUUUGUGAGCGAAGGAGCGAGCGCUCGGGAGAGGAGAGGAGAGGAGAGGAAGGGGUUGUUAGCAAAAGACGAGAGGGAGAGAGAUGGAGAGAGAAAGCGAGGUGGAAUUAAAUAGUCGAAAAAGACGCAAAACUUCCCUGGACCGACCUCAGCACAUCAGAAAUUGUUUCCUGUACCGUACACCUCGUGCACCACAUUUUAUUUGAACAUUUUGUACACCCGUUAUUUGAUCUCUAUCAGUAAUAUAUGCUAUAUUUGGCAGCUUUUGUAUUUGAAUAUUAGUAUAUCACUUUGAUUGUGUGCAGAAGAUAGGUUUUGAUUACUUGCAUAUAGUAUUAAUGUUUAUAGGUUUUGAUGUAUUUAUUUUUGUAAAUAAUCAAUAUUUAAAAAUCAGGUUUUGACGAGGGGCAAAGUGUAGAUUUUUAAAUGACAGAAAAAAAAGUGAAAAAUCAGAUUUUAACAGAAAAAUUUUCUGUAAUUUAGCCUUUUUUUUUGUAGGAAUUUUAGAUGAUAGUUUAAAAGAACCUUCGCUUGUACCUGGUACAGUUAUCACAUUUAGAUCGCCUAAUCAUUUUUUUUACCUAAAGUGAAAAUUUUGAAAAUGUUAGAAUAACAGGAACAAUAGUAAUUUGCAAAAUGAUGGACUCGAGCGGUAGAUAAUUGAAUGGUUCAUGAUCAACGUGGUGAACCAAGUCCAAGUAGUAACUUCUCCGGGAUUCGGUGGCACAAUGCAUGGUGGAGGUAUGUUGACGACUCAGGAGGCCAGAGACUUGUCAACUACCUCGUGCACGCUUUAUUGUACCAACAAAAGGAGAACCCUUUAUUUAUUAAGGCAAGUACGUGCUAGGUCCACAAUACAUUUCAGAUUAUAAAAAAUAAUUUUAUUUUAUUUUUAUUUAGAUACAUAUGUAUUUAUUUUAGCAAACAAAAGUGCUUUAGAAUUAGUAAAUUUUAAAAUUUGAAAGUAGAUAAAAUUUAAUUUUUUAGGAGAGAAAGAUAGUAUACUAUUUAGUUUAUUUAUUUUUUAAAAAUAAAUUUAAUUAAAAAUAUAAAAUAAUUAAAUUUGAAAUUUAAGAUUUCGGAUACUGAUCAUCAAGUUCGUAAUUAGGCAACUGCGUUAGAUACGAUCGAUAAUGAUUUUAUUGAUUGCUAAAGUUGUAAAUAAUAAUAGUUUUGUUUUGUGCUUUUUUUUUUUUUGUAAAAGGAAAAUCCAUUGCUUUUAAUAUGAUGAUUUCUUAUAAGUUCAUUUUACCUCGCAUUUUGUUCAGUGAAUUGCGUCAUUAAUUCUUCUCGUUGAUUAUAUCAAUUGUCUAAUUAAANAGUCUCAAACAAUAUAAUUUCAAUUUUAUAUGUAUAAUUUAGUCUCAAAAUAUUUUAAAUAGUAUAAUUUAGUCUAAAUAAUACAACUUCGUCUCAAACAAUACGACUUUUUCUUUUUCUUUCUUCUUUGCUUUUGCUUUUUGAUUCUUUCUGUAGCAAUCAUGGUAUAGGAUGACCUUCUCAGAGAAAAGAAAUAUUUUUUUCUUUCUUUUCUACCCUUUGUGUUCUUUUUUACUAACGCGCUUCCUCCCUCGCCCUUUGCGGCAACAGCCUCCUCCCGGCUCAAUGUAUUUCUCUAUAUUCUCCUUAAAUACUGCAAGACUUUCGCGGCCAUUGCUGUUCAUGAUCAUGUUCUCCUCUGUAGCCUCACCUUCGUGAUUUAUACAAUAUCUGAACUCGCGCCACUGUCGCCGAUGUCAAUGGAGGUGUGGGCAAGGUAGGAAAGAGGAGCACGACGCAGAUACAAGGAUGGUGGAUGAGAAUGGGGAAGGAAAUGAAGCGAGAGAAGAAAGAGAGAAAGGGAAGGCGAGGAGAAGAGAGACGAAGAGGGAAAAAAAAAAUAUAAGGGUAAACUUCAAAUACCGUCCCUGUGGUUUCGCACUUUCUCACUUUAGUACUUAUAAUUUAAAAUGUACCAAUUUAGUACCCUGUAAUUUUAUUUUUCUUUUUUUGUCAGCCCCCUCAUUAACUUUUCAUUAAAUCAUAUAUUAAAACCUUCAGAUACCCCACCUAUAGUUUAUCGAAUAUUCACUUUAGUACUCUUUAAUUUUAGCUUUGUCGCUGAUUUAAUAAAAAAAUUAGUUAAAAGAAUAACAAAAAGAGAACAAUAAAAUCACAGAGUACAAAAGUGAGAAAGUACAAAACCUCAGGGGUGACAUUUGAAGUUUUCUCAAAANUUUUUUAUAAAAUUAUAAUAUUAUUAAUAUUUUAUAAAUUAUAAAUUAAUAAUUUUUAAUAAUAUUAUAUAUAUAAUUAAAAAAAAUUAAUUAUAAAAAUUAAAAAUAUUAAUUACAAUUCAAAAGUUUCAAAUACAUUAAAAAUAAGAGUACUAACUUAUUUGUAUUUUGAAUUUUUUUUUGUAAAUACAUUAUUUUUUAGGAAUAUUUUGUAAAAUAUAAAUAUUUUUCGGGACGAAUUCGUGGCGGAUCAUGGCAGGGCGGAUUCGGAACGGGUCAAAAUUUCUCCCAUUUUCUGCCCCGAAUCCGUCCGGAUCGUAAAGUUUACUCCGUUUCUCGCCCCGAAUCCGUUUAUUUUCUCCCAUUUACUGCCCCCGUCGGGACGGAUCGGGGCGGGAGCUCCACCAACCCGGAUCCGUUUGCAUCCCCAUAAACACCUAAGAUGUUCUAAAUGUACCAGAAAUGAGCAUUAGACGUUCAAAGCGUCACUCACUCUAGUUUGAAGGGUGGGUUAAUAGAUAGCGCAACUCGUGAUAUACGUAGAUCACAAGCUCAAAGAUUUUGCGAAUAGUUUAUUCCCGAACCAAACAUACGAAUCAUGGUGAUAUUGUAGCUAAGUACAGUAGGCCAUCCCCCAUUCCCCCUAGCCAUGUAUAUACAUUGAAAGCAAUUGCUGGCACCAAACGUACUAGCCAGCGCAGUUGGCUGAGUAGCUGAUAUUAGUACUCAAUCUAGUAAUUAAGUUUGAAAUUUAAUUAUUUUAUAUUUGUAACUAGAUUUAUUUUUUUUUUAAAAAAAAACAGUAUGCUACCCUUGUCUCUUUCUCUCUAAAAAAAAAAAAAAAAUUUGUGACACAUAAAGAUAUCUUGAUGGGUUAGAAAAAAGACUUAAGUUGUAUUAUUUGAGUCUCAAACAAUAUAAUUUCAAUUUUAUAUGUAUAAUUUAGUCUCAAAUAAUUUUAAAUAGUAUAAUUUAGUCUAAAUAAUACAACUUCAUCUCAAACAAUACAAUACGACUUUUUCUUUUUCUUUCUUCUUUGCUUUUUGAUUCUUUCUGUAGCAAUCACGGUAUAGGAUGAUCUUCUCAGAGAAAAGAAAUAUUUUUUUCUUUCUUUUCUACCUUUUGUGUUCUUUUUUGUUAACGCGCUUCCUCCCUCGCCCUUUGCCGCAACAGCCUCCUCCCGGCUCAAUGUAUUUUCUCUCUAUGUUCUCCUUAAAUACUGCAAGACUUUCACGGCCAUUGCUGUCCAUGAUCAUGCUCUCUACUGUAGCUUCACCUUCGUGAUCUAUACUAUAUCUUAACUCGCGCCACUGUCGCCGAUGUCAAUGGAGGUGUGGGCAAGGUAGGAAAGAGGAGCAUGACGCAGAUACAAGGAUGGUGGAUGAGAAAGGGGAAGGAAAUGAAGCGAGAGAAGAAAGAGAGAAAGGGAAGGCGAGGAGAAGAGAGAUGAAGAGGGAAAAAAAAAAAAAGGGUAAACUUCAAAUACCAUCCCUGUGGUUUCGCACGUUCUCACUUUAGUACUUAUGAUUUUAAAUGUAUCAAUUUAAUACCCUGUAAUUUUAUUUUUCUUUUUUUGUCAGCCCCUUCGUUAACUUUUCAUUAAAUCAUAUAUUAAAACCUUCAGAUAUCCCACCUAUAGUUUAUCGAAUAUUCACUUUAGUACCCUUUAAUUUUAACUUUGUCAUUGAUUUAAUAAAAAAAUUAGUAAAAAGAAUAACAAAACGAGAAAAAUAAAAUUACAGAGUACAAAAGUGAAAAGCUUUAAACCACAGGUACUAAAGUGAGAAAGUACAAAACCUCAGAAGUGAUAUUUGAAGUUUUCUCAAAAAACAAACAAGAGAAAAAAAAAAAACGAAAAAUAUUUUAUUCAGUUUUCCGAAAAUCCAAAUAUAAACUGCAAAAUGAUAAUUUUUUUAAAAAAAUACAAAAAGGAGUGAAUUUUUUAUGCAAGUUGACCGUAUUUAAUGGUUAUUAUUAUUUCUACAUAAAAUAGUUAUUACACAUAUAACUUUCUCUAGAUAUGAGUUGGCCGGUGCAUUUUCAGUGAUCCGGUCCACGGAUUACGUCGUAAACGAGAUCCAAUCAAUUAUUUAUCUAGUUAAUGGGCCGAGUUUGUCCAUCUUUCUUUAGAUACGCCUAACAUGGACCAAUUCUUAUGUAGGCCAAACCCAGAAAAUAACAGUGGAAAUCCAAAUUCGGCCCAUCAUCGGCCCAGUAACAAGAGUAAACAAAUCCCCGCAUAAUUGUUCACUACACGUAGAGUAUGUUUCGCUCUCCAUUUCGUCUUCGACUCUACUGGGUCAACUCAUUCAUCGAGCUCCAUCAACUCGUAAGAAUUUUUCCUUUUCUUCUCUCAAAUUCACAAAUUAUGUAGCGAAAGUCACAAAUUUGUUCUAUUGUUCCUCAAAUUUUUAAAUUUAUUGCGCCAAAUCCCUCAAAUUUUUUUACAAAUUUCUCAAUAAUGUGGAUUGGUGUGCCCAAAUCGAGCAACACCUACUAUACCUCACAAAAAUGGCGAGGAAUUGCCCUCACAACGUGUGCUUUGAUCCUCAUCGCAACCCUAAUCCUAUUCAAAGCAAAGCCCACUUCCCCAUCUGAUCCCGAAGCCCUAAAAGGAACCGCCUUUUUCCCCAGUUCCAUCCAGUUCCACCCUUCUUUUGAGUUCAUGAAUGGCACUGAAGUGAUUUGGCAAAUCCCCAAUUCACCAAAAGCAGCUCUUUUUAUAGCCCCUGGUUGCACUAUUCGAGCCUCCAAUUUCUGGGACAAGUCCACAUUUUGCCCUAAUUGCGACGGAUUGCCAGAAGAAAGGGCUUUUGUUCUCCAAGCCCUCGAAAGAGAAUUCGCAGUUUUGACAAUUUCUAGUCUUGAGGAAUGUUGGUCUUUUGGUAAGGAGUUGGAGAAUGUGGAAUGGAUCAUCAAAUGGUGGGUUCGAGAGAAUAAGCUCGAGGGGCUUCCGAUGACGGCUUUAGGGGCUUCUUCUGGCGGCUAUUUUGUUUCGGCACUCGCAUUCAAAAUGAGGUUUGGUAGCAUCACAAUUAUGAUUGCAGAAGGGGUGUUUGUAAAUAUAGCUAUUGGAAAUGACUAUCCGCCGACUCUUUUUGUUCAUAUGCCGAAAGAUCGAAUUAGAAUGAGUAAUAUAUUACGAAACAUGGAAGAUUUCAAGGCGAAGGGUGUUGAUGUUAAGGAAGUGCGAUGUAUGGAUUUCCCUUUGAUACCGAAUGUAUUAUCAGAUAGAAUUCCGGGUGUGAAUCGAAGUUUUGCGGUUAAAAUAGUUGAGGUUUUCCACGAGAAGGGUUUUGUGGAUGAGAAGGGAUACAUGAAAAUGGACGGGAGGGCGAGUCCCUGGAAGGAAGCUCUGAAGGAAAAGAAUCUUUUGUCCGAGAGUGAUGAAUGGAUUAAACACGUGGAAGAAGAGUUAAAUCUUGCAUAUGGUUACCAUGAAUUUUGCAGCUUAAAGUCUGAGGAUAUUUUUGAGUGGUUUGAUUCCCACAUGAAGUGAAAGUGAUGAGAUCCUUGAGUGCAGAAUAUCCAGCAAACAUAUUUGUUUCAAUUUUCUGGCGACAUGGUGUUGGAAGAAAAAUAAUCUCUCUAGGGAGUAGCUAGCUUUCAUAUUUACAAAAUUCGACUGUUGGAUAACCUUUGAGGAAAAUGAUGCAGGGCAACGCAUGGAGUGUUCGAACACUUUGCCUAAGCGUCCCAAGUUUUUACUAUACUUCCAUUUGAUAAUAGCUGCUCUUGCUAAUACAUCACCACACAUUAUGCAACUAUAGAGUUUCUGAUACUCAGGUGAGUCUUUGUAUUUGUUGGUUUGUUAUCCUAUGGUUCUAACCAUGAGAAAUGUUGUAGCGUUCAAUUGAUCUUGUUGGUUAGAAAAUGCGGGCAACUUGUAGUGUACUUCAAUGUUUUACUCAAAUAGUAUUUAGUUUCCUCUGGAGAUAUAUGUCAUAAUUCGAUCUUGCUACUCAAUAUACAAUAAAUGCUUUUUUACGAGACCAGUAACUUGGUGUGUAUGCUUUUUUAGUCGUUGGAUAUUUCUGUGUAACUCAAUAUACAAUAAAUACUUUUUUACGAGACUAGUAACUUGGUAUUUAUGUAUUAUUGCAAGAGGACCAUAAAGUGUGUGGCAGUAUACUAUGACCAAAGAUACAUGAUUCAAGGGCUCUUUUAUUAUUAUCUUAAAUGAACUUAUUUGGAUGCUUUUGUUCUUGUGGUUGUUUUGAUUGAACGGUGCCUUAUGUUUGAAACAAAGAAAGUUAGACUUGUAUAGAAGAUUGAGAAUUAGCAGCAAGGAAUCUUUUAUUUGCCUUGUAGGUUGACAAGUUAUGUAUAAGCAUUUGUCAUGUAUAGAUUCAAACAGAAAGAGACACCAAAGUGUGCCAAUGAAAAUAAAUGAUCUUGUUAAUAUUAUUUAUCAUUGAUAUGUUAAUAUUGAACUUUUGAUUUUUGCCAACAUAAAAUAUGUCAGUUUGAUAUGGAUCCAGUGAUCUGCUGUUGUAGAUCAUGAUUGAAGUAAUUAACCUGGAUUAUUUUCUUCUUGGCUUACAAUUUCACAUGUUUUAAAAUGCUUAUUUGUUUUAAGGAGUUUAAGAAUUUUUGUGACUUCGUAGCCCAACUGAACCAGAGUAGUUCCGAAAAAGAAAUAGUUUCCUUUGAUUUGGUAACUUAUUUGUCAUUUGAAGUUCGCACUUACAGUUAGAAUACUUUUACAGCUCAAAUGCAAUUUGGCAUGAAUGUUAUGCACUGCAACACUUUAAAAUUAGAAUGAUAAAGGGAACUUAUCCCUGUACUGGCAGUGUUCUAUAAGUCUUUGUAAUUGUCUAGAAAAGGCCAAUAAUGAGUGUGUGGUGAAUACAAACUCAUGAUUUCUAAAUAUGUAUUCAUGCCUAUGAAAAUUUUGAAAAAAUCAAUAUGAUUUCGUUAUCAUAUAUGUAAUUGUCUAUAGCCCGCCGCAGAGAGUUCCUCAAUGUGUUAAGAUAUGGCUCUCAAUUGCUUGCCUUAGUCAUUUGCCUUGUUGUGCUAAUAUUCAUUGAAGUGCAUGUUUCAUAUGAUUUGAACAGCUUCUCUGCUCUGAAAAGCAAUAGUCACAUACGUAUUGUGGCAAAAUUAAAAACUAUAGUGCUUUUUCUACGGCGGGAAGCUGUAAUGCAAGUUUGAAUUUAGACUUCACUCGGUAUUGUAGAAGCUUAUUAGGGAGAUUCUACUGGAAAAAGCUGGUAUACACCAAGUGACAGAUGCAAAUGGACACUCGAAAUUCUCACCAUGGAACAUGUGUUUGAAUCAUGCAUCUCUGUGCCCUACAUGCAUCAGAUAAUUCGGAGCACCUGUUUCGUACAGCGGGACCUAUGAAAGAGGGUAAGGUUUUAAUGACCCGAAACGCCAAUUCAAUACCCCGAAUUCCGAGGAAAAAAAAAAGAAAAUCUUAUAAGGCCUCACAAGUCACAAAUGGUUGCAUUUGUUUUUAUUUCUUUGGUGCAUUAUUUUUGACAUGAGCAAGUAGCUUCUUCUUAUUCUUAUUUCCGUGGACGAAGACUCUACUACAGCUUAUAGAUCGAUGAUGUUACAAGGAAUUUGAUGUUCUAGUAUUUUUAAUGUUUAAUUUUUAUUAAAUUAUUUUUAAAAUUUAAAAUUUAAUAAAAAUUAGCUAUGACUUGCAUGCGGUUCGCAUCGGAAAUAUUGCAUGUUGCAUGCGGUUCGCACCGGAGUUUCCGACUCGGGCUGGUGCCGCGCGCGAGGCGGAGUACACCAAGUUACCGUUAGCUCCGCAGAAUCGUGUCACGUGUCCUCCACCCAUUCCAUGCAGGCUCUACUACUACUGUUGAUGUUUUACGAAACCGUAGAAAUUGUUGGCCAUUCCCCAUUUACCACCCCCGAGGCUCAGCUUUUGAACCUACCACCCUCUCCAUUAUUUAUACCCCCACCCCCUUCACCACAGCUUUAUAAUUUUUAUUUAUAACUCUCUCUCUCUCUCUCUCUCUCUCUCUCUCUCUCUUGUUUGCUUGUUUUUGUUUUAUUGUGGGGGUGGAGAUGAGGACUCAUGAUUGUAGAAACGCUGCAGCUAUUUUGAUCCUUGUAGUUGUUGUGGGUAUGGUGAGCAUCUGUGGAGCAUAUGAAUUCUUUGUUGGUGGGAGAGAUGGUUGGGUGCCUGACCCUUCCGAAGCCUACAAUCACUGGGCCGAGAGAAACAGGUUUCUAGUCAACGACAGGCUCAGUAUGUUCAACUCAAUCUCUCUCUCUUUCUCUCCCUCUUCUCCAAACUUUCGAAAUAUCGUCAGUAUCAUCAUUCAAAAUUUAUUCUAAAUUAUAAGUGUUUUUAUAAAGUCAAACCAUCUUCGCCUAAGUAGCAAAGCAAACCAUAUCUAAAACUCUCAUCUAUGUAUAAUAUAUGUGUAAUACAUUAUGGUGCAUGUUUAUAUAUAGUUUUCAAGUACAACAAGGAAGAGGACUCCGUCCUCGUGGUGUCACACGAAAAAUUCAACUCAUGCAACACGACCGAUCCCUAUCUGAGGCUCGACGGCGGGUACUCGGUGUUCGAUCUCGGCCGGUCGGGGCCCUUCUUCUUCAUCAGCGGCAACAAAACCCGGUGCGACAGCGGCGAGAAGCUGGUCAUUGUGGUUCUAGCCACCAGAACCAGCAAGAACAGCCCUCCCCCGCCGCGCUCUCGUCCGUCUCCCGCACCGACUCCACGGUCCGAUUCGAACCCGCCUACCCGAAAAGCCACGCCGCCGACUUUGUUCCCAUCCAACUCUUCUUCUUCGGCACCAUCCUCUUCAUCCGUUUUGAGGGUUCCAGAGAUUGUUUCCUUUGGAGUGGUUGCUCUUGUCAUGGUCGGGGCCUUUCCUUAAAGUUAAUUUGAUUUGGUGAGUUGGUAAUUAAUUUGUGGUCGUUUUAGAUUAAUGUGUUGUCACCUUUUCUUCUUUAGGUUUAGAAUAAAGUAAUGCAGGGAGGGUUUGUGAUCGAUUUGGUAAUUAGAGUUUUAAAUCUCUCUUUAAUUAAAGAGGAUUGUGUGUUUAACUUAAAGCGAGUAUUAAAUCAUCUUUAUGUUAUGUCAGUUACUUAAUUACUACUGAUUUAAGACAGAAAGCGCUUCUUAUUAUGUUAUAAACACACAGUAGUUAAAUAUAAGAGGAAAAUUUUUACCCGCAGUUCCUUUUGCUAUUUAUGAGAGUUGGGCUUAUACAAAAUCAAAACCAACAUUUAAUGCGGAGCAGUUGAGUGUGGCAUUUUAAGUAGCCCAUUUGGUGAAUUUGUGCAAGCAUUUCAUGUGAAUCCUAAACGGAAUAUUGCUGAGUACUGCAAAAUUUUAGUGGGGGAACAAAAUAAAAGCUAUACAUCCCCCAUACCUACUUCUUAUGAGCUUUUUAUAGUAUAUAUAUAUAUAUAUAUAUUGAAGGCCUGAAAUAUAUAGUUAAUUAUAAUUUUUGGCAUGACCCAGGAAUCAAUGUGGAAAGAAAAAAAAGAAAUAUGAGUUAUUGGCUUUAACCAUAGUUUUGAGUCUAAUUAAUAGGAUACUAAGCCUUUAAAUUAAUACUUUUCAAUUUUAAUUAAUGCCGCCUCUUUCCAUCUCUCUCUGCUUCUAUAUAUAGUCCCCGUCACGUAUAGUGUUUCACUCUUCUAUGAUUGUUGCUUAAAUCUUUGAAACCUGUUGUUAAAUUAUCACUGAAAAGUAAAAAAAAUCAUCAUGAAAUGCUACAAUCGAUCUAUACCAGUUAUAAGUGGUGUUUCAAAUCUUUUUCAGAAUAAACAGGGUUUGAACGAGAUGUGAUUCUUGCGUGAUUAAUCUCAACGAUGCUUUAACUUAAAAAUUAUAUGGUGGCAGAGAAGUGGAACGAAAUAAAAGUGCCUUAUUGUAUUUGUAGGUUGAGACUCGAGAUGUGUGCUGUUCCCUUUCAUUAAUCAAAAACAUACUCGUUUAGUAUAGAUUAAACUUGUCAUGUUUGGGUUCGGAUUCGGGUAGAAUAAAAUCUUGAAUAUCUGGACCCAUUAACAUCCUUAGUCGAGAUGUGCGUUGUUCCCCUCGUGCUAAAUAUAGUUAUAACUCUCUCUCUGUGAAGUUUUAUUGUAUAAGAAGCUCCUCCUCCUCGUUAUAUAUAGUAUGAGGACAUUGGGGAGGGAUAAACGGGGCACCCCUUAUAUUAAGGACGUGAGACACCCCGAACCAAGCGGCCACAACACAAAACCCCCACCAUACAUACAUCUCCUUUCCCAACCCAACCUUUCCUCUCUAUCUCCCUUUCAUUCGCAUACACGCACUCUCCCUCUUCCCUGAUCAGGAAGGGAAAGGGAUCAACAUCAUCACCCAAACCAUCCAAUAAAGCGACAUCACCCAAUUGCCGAACAAAACCAAUAAGUAUCAGCUCUCGCUCUCCUCCUUGCAUGGCUCUCCCCCGCCCCGCCCUCCUCCUCGCCGUCCUUCUCCUCCUCCUCCUAUCGGUGGCCUGCGCAGCCCACUCCGCGCCCCUCGAUGCGGACUGGGGCCUCGCACGCCUCGACUUCGAAGAUGACGAGCUCACGCAGGCGUGCGACGGGACGGUCGGCGAGUGCGCCGACAAAGACGACGAGGACGGCAGCGCGGAAGCAGAGUACGUCGACACCCGCCGUGGCCUCGCUGCCGCCUACCCGGGCCGCACGAGGUUCAUCAGCUACGGCGCACUGAUGAAGAACCGAGUACCCUGCAGCCGCCGCGGCCAAUCCUACUACAACUGCCGCCGCCGGCGCCGCGCCAACCCGUACCACCGCGGGUGCAGCAUCAUCACCAGGUGCGCCCGGAUUCUCCGGUGAAAAUCGAACACGAGAAGAAAGGAGAAAGCAAAAGAGUUUUUACGUGCUGAUGUUUGUUAGUGUUCCACAUGAAGACGCCCCUUCUUGGUUCCCUUUGAUUGUGUUUUAACUUUUAACUGCCCAGAGUCUCAAACAUGUGCUUCUAAUUGACACUAUUUACUUCUUUACGACUUCAUAACAUGCGACUGCGAUAAUAAGGACCUUUGCUGAAGUAUAUUUCUAGCUAAAAUUUUGAUGUAACGCAUGCAGGAAAGCGAGGAAUUUUAAUUGUUUCAGUACUCGCAAAUUUCAACUACGAGGUGUUUUUAACACACAAGCCUCUUAGAAUACACAUCGAAUAAAAAAGAUUGUACUGAUUAAAAAUGUGGCUAAGAUUUGAGAAAAGAUCAUUUGUAAUGACUAGUUAGUAAACAAUCUUAGCAGGGUGGAAAAUGAGGCGCUUGAAAUUGACGUAUCCUCAUAAUACAAGUUUCAUAUGAUUGACAAAAAGACAGGUGAAAUGCAAUAAUAAUUUUUAGCAAGGAAGUUUUACUGCUCUCAAGGGGGAAAAACAUAAGAAAAUAAUGUAUCAGAUGCCGCAUUACUCGAAUUAAAUUAAGUUGCAUAAGAGUAACAGUACUUUCGUUGAGAGCUGCAAGAGUGACAUCAAAAAGCACAAAAUUUUCUGCUAUGUACCUACCUCUUUCAUGUGGAGCACUCCAUGCCGAACUGUAUUUACGACACCAGCCAAUUUUUCAGAAGAACCACCAUCUUCGCCGUUUGGGCUUCUGCAAGACAUAAGCAACUAUUUUAUUAUAUUAUGUAUUGCCUUUAAUGCACAUUACUUAAAGGAUCACUGUAUUUAUUCUCGCUGCUCCUAGAACAAAGAAGCAAAGUCAGUAUGGUAGGCCUUCUCAUCCAGAGAAUAAGCGCAUUAAAGUAUUCCAUUUAUUAGCGUAUAAACAAAAAUUUGUAGAAACAACAGUACAGAUAAAAGUGAGAGGUUGCAAACCUUGUUUUCUUGAGCAUUUGACUUUAUGAGUAUAGGUGUAGGAAGAUCUCCUUUAUCAAUGUUCUGGAUGUAUGGUUGUACCUUCUCCUUCAAUAGAUCAUUCAACUGUAGCAGCAAGACAAAAGAUAUAUCUUGAUAAUAGAAACAUGUUGUAAUAAUGUAUGUAUACUGUCCAUGUUCAAAUGCUUACACCUUUGUCUACGCAAUUAGUAUGCUGUACGUUUGUUGGGUAUGAAAAAAUAGGUGAAAGAUAAAUAUCAGACAUUUAAAUGCCCUCGUACGCAGUUCGCCAAGAAGAAGUUAGAUAGAUAGCCAGUCUAUUAAUUUCUGGGGAAUGUCUUUUCCUCGUUAUAUAAUUAGAAGAUUUCCAAUCAGCACUAGUCAUGCCUUUUCUCCGUCCUCAGUCUUAUAUGUCACAGUAUCACCUCCUUUGAUUGCCAUCGUCAGGAGUGCUGCAUUUGCCGCUGUAAACACAGAUUCUUCUCUAAAUCUAGCAACACUGCAAUUGUUUCUUACUUAAUAGGCAACACAUCUAGAUUAGUUCUUUAUCUCUUGUCCACUGCCAUGCUAGUCAUGCUAGUCUAAGUCAUUAUGAUGCCCGAAAAGACAGUAAAAAGUAUAUGGGGGAGAAGAAGAGGUAAAGGCAAUAAAAGACAACCCCAUACCUUGUCUUGUCGCCAUUUGGCUUCCCACUGAGAGUCCAAUAUCUUGUCAGCAAAUUCUCUUUGGGCAUUAAGAAGAGUUGUCAUCUCCAGCAAUUUCUUUGGAUCUUUCAGGUCUUCCUCAGUCCAUGAAGAUGCAUUUAGUGGAAGGUCCAACUCCUGAGAAUAUUCUAAUUUGGAUUUAGAACAUUAAAUCUGUGAUAUAUUUCAUAUUUUGCUUCCUGAGAAAACCAGAAGGCUCAACUAGCUAAGCUUUGCUCCACAAUGGUAAACAAAAAUUGACAGAGUCCUCACUUAAAUAAUAUGGACAUCGCGUGUAAAAGAGUUCACAUAAUGUGACGGUACAUUUUGUUCACAAAAAGUCGGCUAAUACAGAGAGUGAUGUGCCUGAGUUAUUUCAGAUUCCUUUCUCAUAUAAAAAGAACAAGUACCAACAUGCUGAUCAAAUAUGAAUUUCUUCUCUAUUAAACAAUUAAGUUAUGACAACUAAUAGCGAUUCUUAAUACUUACACCCCAAUUGAGAGGUCGAGGAGGUACAUCAAGCUUCAUGACUUCCCCCUCCAGUGCUUUCUUUGCCUUGUAGUAGGGAAUGUUUUUCACGAUAACAGGGUCAUCCCUAGCACGAACAGGAUCUAAAGAUAUAAGAGCCUGCAAAGUUUAAAACAUUAUCAGAUUGGGGCUUUCCUCCAGUCAAAUUCAAUAUUUUCAUGGGUACCAAUGUACCAUGGUGAUAUAGAGACAUCUACAGUCUAUAGAUUCCAUGAAAGGAGAAAACCAUCAUUGAUAAAGAGAUUAAGACUCACGUCUUGGAGGUGCUCCCAACCAGGUUUUCGCUUUGCAACCACAUCUCGUAGCUGAUCAUAGCGCAUAGAUUCCUAAAGCAAAUAGAAAUCACCAUAAAUCUUUUUUUUUAAUCACCAUAAAUGUAUUUUUUUUAAAUCACCAUAAAUUACUAUGCAAACAACAAUCUAACUUAAACUCUAGUCUCAUGUAAAUUUCAAUAACAGAUACAUGACCCAGUAAAAACAAGGUAAACUGUUUAAGAUUAAGAAGAAUUUUACGACAAUGAGUACAGAAAAACUUAGUAAAUAGUAAUACAGAAAAACUAUCAUACAAUGUUGCAUAGUUGAUAUCAAAAUCGAAGAAAUCUUCAUUGCUUUAUAUUCCUCCACAGAGCUUGAAAUAAAUUUCCAUUUUCAUAGUUAGAAUAAAGUUGUGGCUGUCGCAGUUUUCUAAGCUUGCCAUGAAAUUUGCGAAUAUGAACAUUAGUUGAUAAAAGGAAAUUGAUGAGAACAUACUUCACAGAAUUAGGAACAAAAUGGUUAAAAUAGAGAAGAGCAUUAACCGGUCAUGUGGUUGAUAUACUUCUUAAGCUAGCAAUGAAGUUAAUAACUGCAAACUAAUCAUACUUCAUGUAACCGAGUUUGUCAAAUAUAAACCAACAUAUAUAAAAAUUGAGUUGCACCGAGAUAAAUGUUGAGGGGGAGGACUGAGUUGCUGAAAAAGAUACAACUAUAUCCUAGACAAAUUAUGGCAUCAAAUAUGAGCAAAAACAAUGCAGCUUGACAUAUAUAUCAUGUAAUCUACUUACCUUGUAGGCCCACCAAAUCUUUUGCUUGACAUCAUCAUCAUAAUUAAAACCCCCCAGAACCUGUGGUAAGGUUAUCAACCAAAAAGCAGCAACUUUUGGGUCCCUCAUGCUAUUGACAAUGUUCUGAGAGAAGAAAAGGCAAAAGCAAAGGACAAGUUAAACUAAUUGUAAUAUAUUUGUCAUCUAGCAAAUGAAAACAUAAUGUUUUUCAGCUACAUGAACACGUUUCAAAACAACAGGAGCAACACGAAAUGAUAAAAAUAUUUUUGAAAAACAUAUAAGUCAAUAAAGUAUUGGGAACAAUCAAAGCACUGGAAAGUGUAAAAUUAAUAGAGCUCUAAGGCUUUGAUUAGGGAAAUUGGAAUGUUGAGGAAAAAGAAUUAGUCAAAUUUGAAACUUUGUUCCCCCUGGAAAUAUGGGAAGAAAUUUUCAUGUUGAUUGGGUUCUGACUUAGAAGAAACAACUGUUACAGACAGAGCAAUUGCUUGCUUUUUUCCGGGACAUGAUCAACCAAAUAUUGAGUAAUUAGCCAUGUGAGGCUGAGAAAAGCUGCAGACACAUCCAGCUAAAUAUGUAGAUCGUCAUAGAAAAGUCAGCAUUUUGCUUCUCACGGGUUAUUAGUAAUCAACAGUGAAAGAACACGUUCCCAUGUUACAUUAUCUAAUGAACUACAUAAUAACGUGAAAAAGGAAUCAAAAUUCACAGAGAGAAGUCAUAGUACUUGCCUCAUAAGGAUAGUCCAUCUUCCUCAAAACAUUAUAUGCUUUCCAAGGAGGCUCCAUAAUCUAAAAAGGAGUUGUAGGUCGUUAUUACCUAGUUGAAGUAUUGAAAACAGAUGUAAAUUAUAAGGUGUUACAACCGCAUUUUACUCACCGACAGACUAGCUGAUGCUUAUUAGAAAUAGUUAUAAAGCUAAAAAAGCACCAGCAAAACACUAAGCAAUCUCAAAAAUGCCUCAUUCCCUCCUUCCCACCUAUCUCAUUUUCCCAGUGAAAACAAUAAUUAAGCAAGUACUUACAUCAUCUGCAGAAAUUCUAACUUGCAAUCGAUGUUUGCACUCGGGGCAACCCAUUACACCCUGCAGUAUCAAACUAAAAAGCUUACAGAAAUACAAGGUGGCAUUUUUCCAGGUUUGUAAACAAAGAUAAUGAAACUUCUAUGAAGCAUAUAAGAAAUUAUAAGCAGCCAGAAAGUAAAGUAUCAAAAUCAAGUAUAUCUCAGCUCAAAAUAUUCAGAUUCAGCAACCUUGAUUCAAAAGAAAUACAAAACUAAAAUUGAAACUGAAGCAUCUUACAGAUCCAUCACAGUUUGGACAUUCUUUGGAAGGCAAUGGCACAGAAAGAUCAACAGUAGAAGGAAGAUGGACCAGCUCAGCACGAUUCUCCAAAAUAGCCUCUGCAACACGCUCAGCUGUUGGUCUCUCUCCACUACAAAGAAACAUUAGGAGGUCUAAAGAUUAGUAAUCAGAUAUUACACUACUCACAACACUUUUAAAUCCAAAUAGUGGCAUAGGCAUAAUUAUCACCAAGCACACCGCAGUAAUUUUCCAUCUGAAGAAACUUAAAACAGCACGCACACAAUUACAGAAAGUUCAAUUAGCAGAAUAAAUGUUUUGCUUUGCGCGAGAAAAAAGGAGUAAUCACGUGAAGUGUGAACCACUAGAUUCGUAAAAAGCAGUUUUGAUCCAUACAAAUGUGUGGAUCUCAUACAUAUUUGCCCUAAGAACAUCUACGAAUGGAGUUUCAACUAUUUCCAAUGCCUCAGUGGCAUUACUCAAUAAAUCCUUCCCAUGGGCCCAGUGCCCAUUCAGCCCAGCUAAAGCUUCUACACAAGCAGAAUCCGAAUAGAGAUUUUCACAAAGCCCAAUAGUUUUUCAAUUAUAGCCUCUCAAUAGCUUACCUUCAGAAGCAGAGCAGAAGUUUUAAACUUGAGGUUUUGUGUUUGGGGGUCAAGAUGCUCAGUUAAACCUGAUGCCCAGAUAAAUGCGCUAAUGCUUUUUUGUCACAAAUUCCCGGAUUGAUUUUUGAGUAGAAAAGUUGUCCAAGAGGUUUUAUAGCAUGUGUGUUGGAUGAAUAUAUGUUAUAACUGGAUGUAGCAAAUCCUUAGGUCCUAGAAUGACGAUGACAAAAAGGCGGGCAAAUUAAAUAUGCAGUGUAAUUUUCCAAACCAGAAUCCAGAAAGAACGGAACUAACAUUGUAAACAAAAGUGCUUCUGAAGUAAUCAAGUAAGCGAUCAAUUAGGAGGGGAAAAAAAGCACCUUUUCGGGGUGUAGUUUUUCACUUGAUAAUUCACUUGUCCCGUACCCUUGCACAUAGUACACCGUAAUGCUUGCCAACCAUUGCAGGUUUGGCAAUUCCUACAACCACAAACAAGCAAUAUCAAUAGCAAUAACACCACCGAAACAUCCAGCUUUUGUAAGAACAGCGAUAGUUUUGACAUAAUAGCUAAUAUUUGUCCGUGCAAGCUUAAUUAAGUUGAGUGACGAUACAAAUUCUCCGCAUACACCUGCACCUGUAGCAACAUUCAUACUAAUCUACCCAAGCCAAAUUCCCUCCUACCUUUUUCUCGUCGUAGAUAUCAAAAAUUAGUAGCCAAGCACUCAAAAUUAGACCAAUACGACGACGCGAAACCGUCAAACACACCGAAACAAAGCGAAGGAACCACCUUUGGCACAGCACCUUCUUUCCCAGCUCCAGCGCGAUAUCAUACGUGCCCAGAGUCGCCACGAGCUACCACCAGCACAGACCCAGCCAUCAAAAAUUAGGGUUUCAAGGAAUGCGAGGAGAGAGAGAGGGAGAAAGAAGAGGAUGAGGGAGGGGGGUGGGUUUGCGUACGAAGAUGGCGGAGAAGGAGACGCGGGAGGCGAGCUCGGGGACGCCGAAGCCGCGCGGGGCGGAGCCGACGAGGUCGUAGGCGAGGGUGAAGGGGGAGAGCACGAGCUUGAUGGGGAGCUCGAGCAGGUCGAUGAUCUGUUGGCCGUAGCGGGCGGUGAAAACCUUGUAGUGCACUUCCGCGAACUGCUUCGCCGCCUUCACCAUCUUAUCCGUUCCCCGCGACAUCCCCGAACUCCACUUCCGCCCCCGAUAUUCUCACUCCCAGUAACGGAGCGGCGCGGGCACGGGCAAAGCGUAUAACGAAGGGGAUCAGGGACAAUUUAGGAAAUGGGGAAAUGGGCUAUUGACUAUCGGGCUAAAGGGCCCAUUAGUUUCUCUUAUGGGCUAUUAGGCUUACCUACGUGCAUACGACCACACAUAGCAUGUAAAUGGGGCGGAUCAAAUUAGGCUCCUUUAGAUCCAAUGUAAUUCUGUGGGCCCUCCUAUCGUACUGCGUUGAAUUUUGUAUAGAAAUAGAAGGUUAAGUAUGCAUGUGUCCAGUCUAGAGAUUUGGGAGAUGAUGUCUGGUCUGGGAUGGGUGGAUGGCUAGGAAUGGAAUGCAGUCAGUGAGUAAUACGCUAACAGAACUAGUGGCCUGCUGAUGGAUCAUCUGGAAGGUCAGAAAUGGUGCGAUUUUUAGGAAGACCCAGUUGGACCCCCUCCUAGCAGUCUACAAGAUUAACCAAUUAAUAAACUUAUAAGAGCAAUUUCUCUCAGCAAAUAGGCACUUCUGUAAUCGAUAGCAUUGUUCUUCUUCUUCUUCUUUUUUUGUCCGCCCUCUCCGAGGCUAAUGAUGCCUCACCCCACUAUAGCUUAGUUCAUCCUUUCGAUGAAUGAAACGGAUAUCAUGCUAUCUUUUUCUAUAUACACCUCUUUUGCCACAUUAAUUAAUUGCACUAUGCUUAUAGCCUGGGGGGAGUUUUUCACAGGAAACAGACUUAAUUUAUACACUUCUCAGAUAUUAUUAGAUAAUUACAAGCACGACAUCGUCUUCGGUGCAGCAAACUAGAUCUGAAUCCGACCCGAAGCUUAAUGUACCAAUGAUCUGCUUUGAUAAAUGUGAAACUAUGUUAGAUGUAAAACUUGGACAUCAGAUGCAGCUUUUUUUUCAUUUUUCUCCUACCGAAGCCAAAAUUGAGAAAAACUUUGCUCAUUACAGGCAAAUUGUUGAAGUGAGACAAGAUUCGUUCAUCUUCAGCUUGUUGAUGAGUGAUGAGCCCAAAUGAAUUUUUAGGUAUGAACAUGGAUAAAAAAACUGUGGGCUAUAAGAAUAAUAAUAAUAGCAACAGUGGUAAUAUUAGACGAAAUACUAGUGGCGAACUAAAGAUCCUUAGAAGCCUUAAAAAAGGGAAUAUUUCGCCUUGUAAGAGGGGUUGACAUUUUCCCGUUGGAUCGCGAAUUCCGAGCACCAAAAAUUAAGCUUAAGAUUGAUUUCAUUUGCAACAUGUUUACAUAUUUAUGAACAAGAAAGUUGAAGCAAUAAAUUAAAAGUAGAAAAAUUGUUGCCACAACUCCAAUCUCACAAUGUCAUGUAGGAUCCUUUUUAUCCCUUUAAAAAACAAAAAAAAGGAAAGAAAUCUAUAUGUAUGAUCGUAAAUUAAGCCAAACCAAAUAAACCUACUGCAAAUGUAGCACUAUAUACAUUUGAAAGAACCAUAACCAAUACGGAUAUAUACCAAUCAUAAGUAUGAUAUUUUUUUUUCUUCCGAAAAAAAAAAACAAAACUCUCUAACCAAAUAUAAAUUACACUCACAACGGACUUUGCAAAUGACAUUGAAAUCAAAACAAAAAAGGGGGAACAAAAAAAAGAGCAAAAUCCAUUUACGUAUGAUCUUUUUUUUUUGAGAAAGGCUUUAGGGAUGUAAAAAUAAUUAAGACAUGUUAAAAAAUUAAUAGCCCCUGAAAUGCAUAUCUCACAGAGUCUUUAUUAUUAUUGCAUCAAAAUUAACAGAACAAAAUAAAUAAAUAUAAAUAAAUUGAGGACAACAGCAUUUCUCUUUCAUUGAAUUACCAAUACAAUUCUACAAAACGUUUAAGGAUUUCUUUCUUUUUGCUCAUAUAAUUGUUCUCGGAAACAAUUGUUCAUCCCUGUGAACCAUUUUCAUUAUAAAUUGUUCAUUGAUGAAUGGCAAAAAGCUUAUGUUUUACCCGAACCCAAUUCGAAUCGCUAUAUAUCAACAUUUCCAGCACAUUAUUUCUAAAUAAAUACCACAAAUGGUAGCCGUGCUACCUACUCUCAUCAAAAAAAGAUAAAUUUUUAACCUUCUUUUAGUAGAGGGAAUAAGAGAACCCAAUAUUCUCGGCUCAAAAAGAAAAAAUCACACGGUGAUCUAUAAAAUUAUAUAUUAAGAAUAAAAUAUAUUAAAAAAGUCUACCGAUGUCCCUAACCAAUAAAUGUCGACGAAAAUUAUAGCAUAUAAUAUACUCCCAUAGCCAUUAAUUACUAAAAAAAAAAAAUUUCUUUAUAGCUGAUCUUUGUAUUCUUCCUUAUAAACACUAAAAAUACUUAAUAUAAUAAUAUAAAAUAUUGUAUGAUAUUCAACUAAAGAACUUAGUCAUGCCAGCACAAAAAGGUAAUAAAUAACCUACAACUGACAUUCUAUAAUAUUAUUAAUUAUCUCAAUAUAAAACAAAUAAUCUCAUGCUGUGAAAAUAACUAGAACGAUAAAUUUUCCCACAAAAAUAAUCAUAUAUCAUACACAUAAACAAUAUGCAUUUAUCACCAAUGGAACAAAUAAUUAGCAUCCUAAUAUAUGAGUUUGGAAUACUAUACAAACUCAAAGACACAAACUCCGAUGUAUGUAAGAAUCUCAAAACAAAAUCUCUAGAUUGGUAUGAAACCCUAUAAAGAAAAGAGCUCCCAUGGGACCUCACAACAUAACAUAGAUUAAAGCAAAUAAAUUCGUUAGAAGGAAUAAUAAUAAUAACCCAAUAAAAUAGUUUAGUGAUUAAUUUUUAAAAUGAAGCUCAACUAAAACAUUGCUCGAAUAUCCAUAAACCCCAACGCUCCAUAAAAUUCUUAAAGGUUAUUAAUACAACAUGAUUGGUGUGUAUAUAUAAUAUUAGCUUAGAUUUGUCAAAUAAUUAACUUUAUAUAUCUAAUUCAAAUUGAUAGGACAGUUACCAAACGCCAAAUCUUAUAAUUGAUGGAAGAAAUUAGCAUAUCUGAAAAAUUAACUCUAAUCCAUUUACUAUUCCUAGUAAUAAUAAGAUUUGACUAAGAUGAAAAAACUAAUCAUAAAACCAUAAACAAUACCUUUAUCGAAAACAAUUAUUCAUAGAUUGUAAAAGAAUAAGAGACAACAUAGAAUACAUUGAAACAAAAACCUUAACCCCUCAUAGAACAACUGACCGUAUCUACGUAAUUAUAAAAAACUGAUGUUAAUAAAUCUGAUCCAAGUCUAAUUUAUCAUUUCCAGUUAAAUUUAUUUCUAAAUAAAAAUAACAAACGAAAUAGCAACUACCUAUCCCAAAAAAAAAAAAAUCUCACAGAACUAAAACAGGAUUCCAAAUCGUUUGCUAAUAAUCCUCCAACUGACAUAUACAAUUUAUGAUCUUUAAAGUUUCAAUUAUUACAUUAUAUAGAAUAUUAAAGCCACUCACUAUCAUACUUAAAGUCCAAAUAAUUCGAAAGUACUCACAACUUUCUCCCACAAGAAGGUAAAAAUUUGAAAAUAUUUACGGUAGUUAUUUUUGGUUAGAUGGGACAUCUACGCAUCGCUCAUAAAAUAAUAAUCAAAAUAAUAAUAAUAAAUAUAAUAAUACAUUAAGGUAUGAUGUGGCGAUGAAUCAAAACCCUGCCGUCAUCCACUACGACUGCUCCAUCGUGUGAACCCCCCGCGCCACUCGGACUUCGGCCAAGAAACCACUACUGUGCGUUCCGUCCUCCACCUCCUCCUCCCUCUCCUCGUCAACGUCAAAUCGUAGCUUCAUCUAUUUACCAAAUUAUAUAAAUUACAGAUAUUUGUGAGUUCACAGACAUAAUCUUUCCAAAAAUUUUAAAAUUUUUAAUUAACUAAAUUUAAUAUGGUGAUUUGAUAGUCAACCUCGUUUAUUUUAUAGAUUUAAAUUUAUAUUCAUAUCAAUAUCUAAUAGUUAAAUUUAUUGAAGUAAUAAUAACUUAAAUUUAAAAUCAAAAUAUAAUUUGACUUAUUCAAAUCAACCAAAUUAAAAUCUGAUAUAGAAUAAAAUUUUAAAAGAUUAAUAAGCCAAAUCUAAAUAGACCAUAAUUCCUAAUCAUACAUACUGUUUAGCAUUAAAAUCAAAAGUCCAGACAAAUUUAUUUAAAUUUUUAACAAUAUACUCACCAUACAAAAUGCGACAACAUUAUCGAAGAAGAAAACACUAUAUUAUAUAAUUUUAAAUUAAUAUCUAGAAGUAUAUUUUUAAAACACAGGCUCUUUAAAAUGUGCAAAUUCAUUUAAAGAAUUAAUUUUUAAUUUUGAGCCCUCACGAUUCGAAUUCUUAAAACGAGAUAUACUUAUGCAACUACCUGUAAAUCAGUUGAGAUAGACUAGAAUAAUAUAUCAUCCAUAAAAAAAAAAAAAAAAAUCAUGCAAUAUCACCUAAGCUAAAACCAAACUAUGGAUUUAAAAUCCAAAUUUAAACGAUGAAUAUAAAUACGCACCACACGAUACUUCAAAAUAUUUAAUUUAUAGACUUUAUCAAAAUAUAAUUUCAUAUAUAUUUUUUCAUGUACACAAAAAAAAAGAAUUUUUAGCUCACCAAUAUAGUCAUUGCAAAUAUAAUCAAUACACAGUAGAUAAAUAUAGAAUCGAUCUUUUGAGUUUUAGAGUCCUCGCCAGUGCAUAUGAUACACAAUGAGUGCAUGCAAUAAUAUAUUAAUCCCUUCUCCUUAAUUAUAUUUGAAUACCAUAUUUUGUUUCCCCAAACACAAUGUUCCUAAUAAGCUAAAUACUCUAAAAACUUAUACAGGUAAACUCUAAUCACAAAAAAAAAAAGAGAUGCGGCAUUGCAAAAUAAUAAAAUUAUGACCGGAUCGGCCGACUAAACACCCCUCACCGUGCUUCAGGACGAACCGGAUAAGCUCCACCACCGUCGACGUCCACUGUCCCCCGAGAAAAACAACAUUAUAAUCUAACGUAAUAAAAUAAUAAAUAAUAUAUUAUAAAUAGUUAAUAACCUGGAUUUAUAAAACCUGAUAAUAAUACGUAAUUUCAUGAGUCAUAUAACGAUCUUAAAUCCAUUCCAUCUACAGUAGCAUCGUACAAUCAGCAACAAGAAAUCAACCAAAAUCAAUACAUAAUAUACAUAUUGGAGAAUAAAAUCUGAGAAAAAUUAAAAAUAAAUAGAUAGUAUAUAUAAUAUAUAAUACCUCUAGAAUACACAUAAAUCCGACGUUUAACCCUACAAUUUUCGGAUAUACUUUGCUUCCUGUGAUCGGGUCCAUUAAAUAAGACUAAACCAUUUAAACUACUAAAACAAUAUUACAAUGCACUUUCAUUGUUCUCUUAUCCAUCAGGUGAACAAAAAAAUGUGAAAAAAGAAUAUCUGGUAAAAAAUGAUGAUAGCAUCUGUAAUCAAGAUCAAGAGAUAAUAAACUUUUUAACAUAUUAAAGAAUUUCUACACAAAAAUUCAAAUAAUUGGAAUAAUCUUACAACCUUAAACGAGAAAACUCUCUUACACCAUUAAAUUAUCAAAUUCUUAAAACCCUUGGGAAUCAUGGCCCAAUAUUCGAAAGAAAAAUUUAAUUUCUAAAUCACUAUCAAUUAUAUCAUUCAACAGCCGAUCGUCACAUUGAACCUCUCAUUCAAAAACAACUCAUAGAAAAACGCCAUCCCUACUACUGAAAUUCUAGUCAAACAUAAUACUAGUACUCUAAUUCUACAGAUAAUACUACCAUAUAUAUAUAUAUAGUUGAUCUAGGAUACUUUUACAAGCAUCAUCCCCAUGUUGCUAUCACGUUUUUAGCCAUUGGAUCUACUUUUUGAAUACAAAUAGCCCUUGGAUCAAACACUAUUCCACCUACCACCAUCUACCACCACCUACCACCAUCAUCUUAACCUCACAUCUCUCCAUUCAAGGGCUAAAAACACACAAGUAUCACUCCCAUGAUACUUUUACAAGUAUUCUAGCCCUACUCUAUAUAUAUAUAUAAGAAUAAUAAAUUUACCGAAUAAUGUCACCUUAGCUGCGCAAAUUAAUUACAAAGAAGGAGAAGUUGCAUUGGUCUUCUUAAUUUUUAAAUUGUGAAGGAAUAAUUUUGUUUUAAUCAGAUUAAAAAGCCUUAAUUACUAUUCCUUCAAACUAGUAAAGCCUUAUUAUAUAUACAAUGCCUUUAAUUUUGACACACAAAUUUGGCUCAGAUCAAAUGCACAAUAAAAAAAAUACAUAUACUAAUAUUUCAUUGAAACCGCGCAUCUCAUUGAUUCUUUUGAUUUUUACAUUACCGAGUGAAAAUAAUUUGUUAUAACAUUCCACUUAGUAAAAAGUAUAAUUCCAAAUUAGGCUUCACGUUGAGCUUUGUUCUUGCAUCAUUUACCUAAACCGAACUUUAUUCUUACUAGAUUAGAUUAAUUAGAGCAUAUAUAGGCUCCUCUUAACAAACUUGGAUUGGGGCAAAAAAUAUUCAUUAUAUGGUAAAAAAAAAAAUAAAAAAUAGUACCUCUUCAAUUCCAAUGGAGUAGGAGUACUGUUGACUAGCCUAUACUCUCUCUGGAUCUUCUCACUAGCUAUAAAACACUCGUAAAGACUAUUUUUCACCAAGAGAUAGUUAACCAUGCACCAUUAAAAACCUAAGGAGCUACAUCAAUAUAUAUAGGAGAGAUUAUUUAUAU
rnacentral:lncRNA from 1 species